rnacentral:lncRNA from 1 species
GAUAAUAAUAAUAAUCAUGUUUCCAUAAAAUUGCUAAGUCCAGAGAUAAUACAUAAACAUAGUAGACUGUUCAUGACACAUAUCACGGUGGACAGUGUUUGUGUCCUUAUUACAAGCAACGAGAGAUGCUCGUCACCAACACGCGCGCGCACAGAUGCACGACAUACAUAUAGUAGAGACCAACAGAUGGUCGUCCCAUAUGGUGAACAAUUUAUUGGGGAUAAAUAUUAACGUAACUUGGCCAUAGCUUGAAGCAUAGCAACAUAUGCCUAUGAGUGGCAUUCAUGCUAUCGUUUUAGGCUUGUCCAGCUCCUUCCAUCUUAGCAAGCACUUCCAUUUCUACCAUCUUAGCAGCAACUGUCAAAUUGAGAUACGGAAAUCCCAUUAGCGCAUGAGUUAAUUUUGCAGUGGAAAUAGAGUACAAGAUGUCUUCAUGAUGUAAGUAAUAUGCCUGAAGUUGUGAGAUGGGAAGUGAAGUCAACAAAUUACAUUAACGGAAAUGCAUGGAAGGCCACACAUACGUAUUAGUCCAUGAUAUGCUACAAAGCUUGUAUGUACAUAUAGCAAAUUAAAUGCAUUAAUUGAAUAGAGUGUGUUUAGUGAAUUUACCAGAAUCGUCCAGAAAACAUGGGAAACAGCAAGUGUUCUUGCAGACUGCGUCGGAGGCACCCGCACGAAUACAAAGCUGACAACAUAGUUUUGCCUGGGCGGAUGCGCAGCAGCCGCACUCCGCCGCGGUGGGGUUAACAUUGAGGCUCAAGAUGACCAGGCACAUGAUCACCAUCAAAGUGGUAGUCCUCUUUCCCUCCAUUGCCUCCUCUUAGCUUGCUGCUACCUUCCUUGGUUACCUAGCUAAGUUUAUUGGUUUUGUGUUGAGAGGUGUGAUUUUUGAAUGGACGUUGCCGGCGGCAAUUUAUAGGCAGCUGAGCUAUGUGAUGAUAUGGACUAGGUGCAAAUGGGUGGUUAAUGGCAAGGAAAGGGGCGUCAGACAAAGCCCAAUGGCAACUGCUGACAUGCGAUUAAAUUCAGAUCCACAUCCGGCCAUUCAAUAAUACGGUUGGAGUUGUGGCACAGAUAUAUUAUUGCAUGAUCAUCAAGAUAAGAUCGUACAGUGACUGAGUGAGACAAUAAAUAGCCAAGUAAACUAUUUUAUCCUGCUGCAAGCUGCAUUCAUAAGUUUAUUUCACCUUUGAUCACAAUACUCUUCACACACGUACGUCUCAGGGAGAUCUCACUUCCGCUGGACUGCUCACUUCCGCUGUCGUCGGUACUGCCAAAGACAUAAGCUCACAUCUGCUAUUGCGGAGCAGGCCAAUUUGCUGCGGAACUUCGGCGACGACCUGAAGGACAUGAACUCGGUGCUGGAGUCCAUCUCAGCAGCGCUCUAGGACGCUGACACCGGUAGAAAAACGACCUUCCAUCGUCAACAAAAAUCCCGGUAGCUUUUUUACUCGGUACUAAAGAGGUUUUAAUCUCGUGCAAACACCUUUAGUCCAGAUUGCUAUUACCACGCAACCCGGACUAAAGCGUCCCCCGCGAGUUAGUAUAUAAGGAUUGCAUCCUUUACUCAGUCAGAUAUAAUAUGUAGGUGAGAUGGUAAGGAAGCUAUGCGUGAGGCUUCAGGUUGUGGGUUCGAAUCCAAGUGGGUGCAGCUGUGGCUUAAGCGGCUGAGGCACGCCGCCAUAGACAUCUCAGAUUUGCUCGAAGACUACCAAGACACUAGUGAACCCUUAACAGUAAAGGUGAGUACUUAUGAAUGUCAGCAUCCAUGUUGUCCAUGCUUCCAAUGUAAUAACAAGAUGGACUACUCUUCCUAGCGGACUCUUCACAACCACUCGUAAAGCUAUGCGUUUCUCAAUGCAAUUUCGUAGAAGCCAAUCGAUCCAACCAAGUGACUAAAUCAUUCGUCCUUUCCAAUGAUGUGCAUCAGGUUUUCUAUAUGAAGGGCAUGUCUAGCAAACCUAAGAUUUCAGAAGAAAAAGAAAAAUCAUUGGAGCCAAAGAGCCACAUAGUUCUUCUAGGAAAAAAAUCAUGGGAGUCGAGAACAUAUCAAACCAAUCAGGGGAUUAUGGUCAGCUUAAUGGCAUGCCUCCAUUCGAUGUCGAAGUUCACCCAAGCAUCAUGUUAGCCAAACAUCAAAUGUUCGUGCGUUGUUACGGUAAAGAUCAAUUGUGUUUUUUAAACUCUUGGAAUUUUUUUAUCUAAGUUUUUAUUUACACUUAUUGGAUGUCUACACAUUUGCUAGAAAACUAAAAUAAUUUGGACUUAAUUAUUUCUUUCAACUGAAGUACUCACUAAAUUUCUACCUUUUUAUUUAAGCAAGAGAGUUGCUAAAAAAAAUGGAUACGUAACCAUGUUGUAUCAUACAAAGUAACCACGUUUCACAUAUAGUCCGGCUUAGCAAACACCAUUGUUUUCUGAACAUAGCGUACAUGAGUUAACAGACAUGGAUUUAUUUCUAUUGCAAGUAGCAUAGCGUACAACCUGCCUGCACCGAUGCAGCUCAAUAUGCGAUAAUUUUUAUCUUCCCAUGUAAUUUUUCUACUCUAGUACAUAUUGAACUCCACAUUAAUGUCAUGUUCUUUCGCGCCCCAGAAGGUUCCUAAAGUUUGGAAACUUAAUAGAUAGCCAGAAUUUUUUUUAAAGAUAUUUAUAUGGAUACUUGUAUGUUCUUUCCAAACUAACAAUAUUGUUUACCAAUAUCAGAAGGAAUAUGGUUAGGAGCCAUUGCCGCAUAUGGCAGGUGAUGGUAGAUGGCGUAUGGGGUUUCGUUAAUUUAAUGGUAUAAUAAGCUGAAAUACAUUUUCUAUUUGCAAAUGAAUCAUAGCUGAAAUUGGUGGGAUUGUUUUUUCGCCGGUUUAGCAUCCUGUGCACCAGUUCAACCGGAGGGAAGCUGUUUUUUUUCUUUGGUUUUCCACCGGUUCACCGAGACCGAUGACAAUUUUAUGGCAGAAUCAUUACUUGUUUUACUAUUAGGUGAAGAUUUUAGCGUUUAGGUAUCUCACAUUAAACGCAACUUCAACAAUCUAUUUCUAGUGUAUAAUGUAGGAGACCCCGUAAAGAGUCUACACACACAUAUAUGUUGACUAUGAAUGUAAGUUUGUUGGUUUUAUGUAUGUUCGUUUGGAGUUUAUAUAAAUUUUACAUUUUAUAGUUUUGUGUAUAUGACGAAGAUCCAUGACUUGCAUUAAUUUAGCCUUUCUUCCAACAACUCUUAUGCAUGCUGUUUCUAGGCGAGCGUACUGGUUGCAAUUUUGGUCCCCGAUAUAGUGUGAGGACUUAAGGGACACGUGCAGGUCGUAACCUUAGAUAUUUUUGCUGAGAAUGGAUGAAGAAGCAAUAAUAUACUUUGCUUCUGAUUUUCUCCAUGUCAUUUGCUUACUCUUAUCCCUUUUAUUUAUCAUUAUAAGAUGAAAAUAUUGUAAAAACUUGGCUACGUGCGGUCGCAGAAGCUAGAGACUAAAGCGUCCCCCACGAGUUACUAUAUAAAAGGAUUGCAUCCUCUACUCAGUCAUAUGUACUGUGUAGGUGAGAUGGUAAGGAAGCUAUGUGUGAGGCUUGAGGUUGUAGGUUCGAAUCCCACGCACCGCGUGCGCAUGCGCAUAUUUUGCGUGAAAAAUCGCAUGACUUGUGGUCGGCCAAGGAGAAGUGCGUGCGGCUGAGGCACGCCGCCAUAGACAUCUCGGAUUUGCUCCAAGACUACCAAGACACUAGCGAACCCUUAACGGCAAAGUUGAGUACUUACGCGUGUUAGCAUCUAUGUUGUCCAUGCUUCCAAUGCAAUAACAAGAAGGGCUACUCAUCCUAGCGGAUUCUUCACAACCACUCGUAAAGCUAUGCGUUUCUCAAUGCAAUUUCGUAGAUGUCAAUCGAUCCAACCAAGCGACUGAAUCAUUCGUCCUUGCUAAUGAUGUGCAUCAGGUUUUCUAUAUGAAGAACAUGUCUAGCAAAUCCAAGAUUUCAGAAGAAAAAUAAAAAUCAUGAGAACCAAAGCACCACGUAGUUCUUCCAGGUAAAAAAAACAAUCAUCCACUGGGAUGACACACAGUAGCGAUCCAAAACGUCCAUAUUAAGACUUUUUGAUAGCAGAAAAAACAUGAAAAUGUCUAAUAUUUGUAGUAUUAAAAGGAAAAAUAAUAUAUUCACUUGACCUUUUUUUCGUAGCAACGCACCGGUGCGUAGUCAGACUUAGGCCACGUUUGGAUACUCCCUACUAAAGUUUAGCACCUGUCACAUAGGAUGUUUGGAUACUAAUUAGGAGUAUUAAACAUAGGCUAAUUAUAAAACUAAUUGAAUAGAUGGAGUCUAAUUUGCGAGACGAAUCUAUUAAGCCUAACUAGUCCAUGAUUUGACAAUGUGGUGCUACAGUAACCAUUUGCUAAUGGUGGAUUAAUUAGGCUUAAUAGAUUCGUCUCGCGAAUUAACAUAGGGUUCUGCAAUUAAUUUUAUAAUUAGCUCAUGUCUAGUCCUUCUAAUUAGCAUCCGAACAUCUGAUAUGAUACUGCUAAAGUUUAUCACCUAGUAUCCAAAUACCCCCUUAAUGCACGAUGCCUGUGCAUCCACUGGGCCUACCCUCGUGGAUCACGCGCUCGUGGAUCACGCGCACCAUGACAUGGCUCAUUAGCUAGUCGUGCUAAUCCUUACCACCAAAUUAAAAACUAGCAUGUGUUGUGUGUUUGUGACCCUAAACGACUACCACCUUCCCGAGUCCACCGGAGUUGCCAGUUCACCACUAAGCUGACUCUCCGAGCUUCAUGUCACUGUCACCGCUCCAAAGACCUAGAUCGGUUCGCUGUGCACCCCGCUUCGUCCUGAGCUAAAUCCCAUCACGAAAGGUGACCGGAUGCUCGUUUUCGAGCGAAUUCUAGCGAGAUUGCCACCACCUUUCCCCUUCCAGCCGAUCGCAGCUGUCUGAUCACAAACCGACAGCCCAGAUCGGAUUUGACCAGGUCAAUACCGGUCAAGCCGAGAUGCAUGCUGCUUUUGCAAGAAGGCCCCUAUUUUUCUCUCGUUUUGCACUUGAGGUCCUACGCAGUUCAAAAGUAAUUAGAUCUAGAUCCUUUUUCUUCUGUUUUAGCCCUGUUCUUUUAUAAAAUCCCACCCGCCAUCCUGUUUGGUAUUUUGACAUGUUAGACCUUCUAUUUAUAUGUUUAAUUAGGUUUUAGCCCUUGGUUUCUUUAAGUUUAGCUCUUGGAAGUUUAGUUUUCUCGCAGUUAAGCCCCUGAACCUUGUUUAGUUCAUAUCUUUAGCGUUUUAAAUCCGUUUUAAGAGAUUCUUACGCCCAUAAGUUCGUGUUGAUGCAUAGAUUAGUUGACUUAUACGGACCUUGCUGAUUCAGCUCCUUCAUUGUGCUUCAGAUCUCGCUAGUGAAGAAUAAUGGAUGGGCUUUGGUUGAGCUUGUAGAUCGACCUGCAGUUGCAGUGAAUGUGCUGAGGACUGGCGGUACCAAUAAUGGGAGGCCGCUGCUCUGCUUGCUACCAAGGCCUGCGACGCUUGGACGCCAUUCAGAGUGCAUAAUUUCCAAGGAUCUCAAGGGCUCCACACCACGUUCCAAGUGUUUUUUCUUUGCCGAGUGUUUUUAGCUCGGCACUUGGCAAAGAGCUUGUUUGCCGAGUGUCCGAAAAAAACACUUGGCAAAGAGAAAACACUCGGCAAAUUUGAUGUUUCCCGUAGUGAUGUACUAUUCAAACUUGAACUGGGAUGCAGGCUUCAGUACCAAAGAGAGCUCUGGGCGCGGGUGAGCAGUGAGCUGGCCGGGCAGGGAGCUCCAAAGCGACAGCAACAAAGAGAGAAAUGCUAAGAGUAAGAACGACACACGAGGUCACUUCACAUAGAUAAUAGCAGUACGAACCAUACAAUAUCCUCUCUCAGUUUCACUCCGCCUCACACACGGCUAGCACACCAUGCAUGCCGAUUUCAUAUUAUUAAUAUUAUUUUUUGGAUGGUUGUUGAAACUAUAUAUAUAGUUAGUCCAAUCUCACGUUUCCGAUUAUAAAAAUCAACGUAAAGAGAUCGGUAGGGAGAGCCGGCAUAAUGAAGCCGACGCGUGUAAUAAGCACCAGAGCCGGCAUUUAUACAAACUGGUACGAAUAGUAAAAAACUAGAAUUUAUAAAUAAAAAAAUGAUUUGCACAUCUAUGCAAUAAUUAGGGGUUAGUGGCAGGUCUAGAGAGAUAUCUCAUCAUUAUAUCCGGUUUAACGAGGAUAAAAAAGAGUGUAUUUUCCACUCAUCAUGUUGUCUUUUCGCAGCGGUACCACUUUUCGUGUGUUGUAUCGGUCCCCUAAUACGGAGUCUCCGAGGCCCGAGAAAAUAAGGAAAGUGAUAGUAGCCCAGAAAUCGGCCAAGUUUCUUUCCCCUUUGGCUUUCCUACUAGGAUUCAGAAUCCUCUUUCGCAUGACAAUCUUAAUUAUCUCCCAUACUCCAAAACUCACAAAAACAUCAAGAGUCCGCUGAGAAUAAAUUUAAGUAAAAAACAUGCACACACAGAUAAUAAUAAUAAUCAUGUUUCCAUAAAAUUGCUAAGUCCAGAGAUAAUACAUAAACAUAGUAGACUGUUCAUGACACAUAUCACGGUGGACAGUGUUUGUGUCCUUAUUACAAGCAACGAGAGAUGCUCGUCACCAACACGCGCGCGCACAGAUGCACGACAUACAUAUAGUAGAGACCAACAGAUGGUCGUCCCAUAUGGUGAACAAUUUAUUGGAGAUAAAUAUUAACGUAACUUGGCCAUAGCUUGAAGCAUAGCAACAUAUGCCUAUGAGUGGCAUUCAUGCUAUCGUUUUAGGCUUGUCCAGCUCCUUCCAUCUUAGCAAGCACUUCCAUUUCUACCAUCUUAGCAGCAACUGUCAAAUUGAGAUACGGAAAUCCCAUUAGCGCAUGAGUUAAUUUUGCAGUGGAAAUAGAGUACAAGAUGUCUUCAUGAUGUAAGUAAUAUGCCUGAAGUUGUGAGAUGGGAAGUGAAGUCAACAAAUUACAUUAACGGAAAUGCAUGGAAGGCCACACAUACGUAUUAGUCCAUGAUAUGCUACAAAGCUUGUAUGUACAUAUAGCAAAUUAAAUGCAUUAAUUGAAUAGAGUGUGUUUAGUGAAUUUACCAGAAUCGUCCAGAAAACAUGGGAAACAGCAAGUGUUCUUGCAGACUGCGUCGGAGGCACCCGCACGAAUACAAAGCUGACAACAUAGUUUUGCCUGGGCGGAUGCGCAGCAGCCGCACUCCGCCGCGGUGGGGUUAACAUUGAGGCUCAAGAUGACCAGGCACAUGAUCACCAUCAAAGUGGUAGUCCUCUUUCCCUCCAUUGCCUCCUCUUAGCUUGCUGCUACCUUCCUUGGUUACCUAGCUAAGUUUAUUGGUUUUGUGUUGAGAGGUGUGAUUCUUGAAUGGACGUUGCCGGCGGCAAUUUAUAGGCAGCUGAGCUAUGUGAUGAUAUGGACUAGGUGCAAAUGGGUGGUUAAUGGCAAGGAAAGGGGCGUCAGACAAAGCCCAAUGGCAACUGCUGACAUGCGAUUAAAUUCAGAUCCACAUCCGGCCAUUCAAUAAUACGGUUGGAGUUGUGGCACAGAUAUAUUAUUGCAUGAUCAUCAAGAUAAGAUCGUACAGUGACUGAGUGAGACAAUAAAUAGCCAAGUAAACUAUUUUAUCCUGCUGCAAGCUGCAUUCAUAAGUUUAUUUCACCUUUGAUCACAAUACUCUUCACACACGUACGUCUCAGGGAGAUCUCACUUCCGCUGGACUGCUCACUUCCGCUGUCGUCGGUACUGCCAAAGACAUAAGCUCACAUCUGCUAUUGCGGAGCAGGCCAAUUUGCUGCGGAACUUCGGCGACGACCUGAAGGACAUGAACUCGGUGCUGGAGUCCAUCUCAGCAGCGCUCUAGGACGCUGACACCGGUAGAAAAACGACCUUCCAUCGUCAACAAAAAUCCCGGUAGCUUUUUUACUCGGUACUAAAGAGGUUUUAAUCUCGUGCAAACACCUUUAGUCCAGAUUGCUAUUACCACGCAACCCGGACUAAAGCGUCCCCCGCGAGUUAGUAUAUAAGGAUUGCAUCCUUUACUCAGUCAGAUAUAAUAUGUAGGUGAGAUGGUAAGGAAGCUAUGCGUGAGGCUUCAGGUUGUGGGUUCGAAUCCAAGUGGGUGCAGCUGUGGCUUAAGCGGCUGAGGCACGCCGCCAUAGACAUCUCAGAUUUGCUCGAAGACUACCAAGACACUAGUGAACCCUUAACAGUAAAGGUGAGUACUUAUGAAUGUCAGCAUCCAUGUUGUCCAUGCUUCCAAUGUAAUAACAAGAUGGACUACUCUUCCUAGCGGACUCUUCACAACCACUCGUAAAGCUAUGCGUUUCUCAAUGCAAUUUCGUAGAAGCCAAUCGAUCCAACCAAGUGACUAAAUCAUUCGUCCUUUCCAAUGAUGUGCAUCAGGUUUUCUAUAUGAAGGGCAUGUCUAGCAAACCUAAGAUUUCAGAAGAAAAAGAAAAAUCAUUGGAGCCAAAGAGCCACAUAGUUCUUCUAGGAAAAAAAUCAUGGGAGUCGAGAACAUAUCAAACCAAUCAGGGGAUUAUGGUCAGCUUAAUGGCAUGCCUCCAUUCGAUGUCGAAGUUCACCCAAGCAUCAUGUUAGCCAAACAUCAAAUGUUCGUGCGUUGUUACGGUAAAGAUCAAUUGUGUUUUUUAAACUCUUGGAAUUUUUUUAUCUAAGUUUUUAUUUACACUUAUUGGAUGUCUACACAUUUGCUAGAAAACUAAAAUAAUUUGGACUUAAUUAUUUCUUUCAACUGAAGUACUCACUAAAUUUCUACCUUUUUAUUUAAGCAAGAGAGUUGCUAAAAAAAAUGGAUACGUAACCAUGUUGUAUCAUACAAAGUAACCACGUUUCACAUAUAGUCCGGCUUAGCAAACACCAUUGUUUUCUGAACAUAGCGUACAUGAGUUAACAGACAUGGAUUUAUUUCUAUUGCAAGUAGCAUAGCGUACAACCUGCCUGCACCGAUGCAGCUCAAUAUGCGAUAAUUUUUAUCUUCCCAUGUAAUUUUUCUACUCUAGUACAUAUUGAACUCCACAUUAAUGUCAUGUUCUUUCGCGCCCCAGAAGGUUCCUAAAGUUUGGAAACUUAAUAGAUAGCCAGAAUUUUUUUUAAAGAUAUUUAUAUGGAUACUUGUAUGUUCUUUCCAAACUAACAAUAUUGUUUACCAAUAUCAGAAGGAAUAUGGUUAGGAGCCAUUGCCGCAUAUGGCAGGUGAUGGUAGAUGGCGUAUGGGGUUUCGUUAAUUUAAUGGUAUAAUAAGCUGAAAUACAUUUUCUAUUUGCAAAUGAAUCAUAGCUGAAAUUGGUGGGAUUGUUUUUUCGCCGGUUUAGCAUCCUGUGCACCAGUUCAACCGGAGGGAAGCUGUUUUUUUUCUUUGGUUUUCCACCGGUUCACCGAGACCGAUGACAAUUUUAUGGCAGAAUCAUUACUUGUUUUACUAUUAGGUGAAGAUUUUAGCGUUUAGGUAUCUCACAUUAAACGCAACUUCAACAAUCUAUUUCUAGUGUAUAAUGUAGGAGACCCCGUAAAGAGUCUACACACACAUAUAUGUUGACUAUGAAUGUAAGUUUGUUGGUUUUAUGUAUGUUCGUUUGGAGUUUAUAUAAAUUUUACAUUUUAUAGUUUUGUGUAUAUGACGAAGAUCCAUGACUUGCAUUAAUUUAGCCUUUCUUCCAACAACUCUUAUGCAUGAUGUUUCUAGGCGAGCGUACUGGUUGCAAUUUUGGUCCCCGAUAUAGUGUGAGGACUUAAGGGACACGUGCAGGUCGUAACCUUAGAUAUUUUUGCUGAGAAUGGAUGAAGAAGCAAUAAUAUACUUUGCUUCUGAUUUUCUCCAUGUCAUUUGCUUACUCUUAUCCCUUUUAUUUAUCAUUAUAAGAUGAAAAUAUUGUAAAAACUUGGCUACGUGCGGUCGCAGAAGCUAGAGACUAAAGCGUCCCCCACGAGUUACUAUAUAAAAGGAUUGCAUCCUCUACUCAGUCAUAUGUACUGUGUAGGUGAGAUGGUAAGGAAGCUAUGUGUGAGGCUUGAGGUUGUAGGUUCGAAUCCCACGCACCGCGUGCGCAUGCGCAUAUUUUGCGUGAAAAAUCGCAUGACUUGUGGUCGGCCAAGGAGAAGUGCGUGCGGCUGAGGCACGCCGCCAUAGACAUCUCGGAUUUGCUCCAAGACUACCAAGACACUAGCGAACCCUUAACGGCAAAGUUGAGUACUUACGCGUGUUAGCAUCUAUGUUGUCCAUGCUUCCAAUGCAAUAACAAGAAGGGCUACUCAUCCUAGCGGAUUCUUCACAACCACUCGUAAAGCUAUGCGUUUCUCAAUGCAAUUUCGUAGAUGUCAAUCGAUCCAACCAAGCGACUGAAUCAUUCGUCCUUGCUAAUGAUGUGCAUCAGGUUUUCUAUAUGAAGAACAUGUCUAGCAAAUCCAAGAUUUCAGAAGAAAAAUAAAAAUCAUGAGAACCAAAGCACCACGUAGUUCUUCCAGGUAAAAAAAACAAUCAUCCACUGGGAUGACACACAGUAGCGAUCCAAAACGUCCAUAUUAAGACUUUUUGAUAGCAGAAAAAACAUGAAAAUGUCUAAUAUUUGUAGUAUUAAAAGGAAAAAUAAUAUAUUCACUUGACCUUUUUUUCGUAGCAACGCACCGGUGCGUAGUCAGACUUAGGCCACGUUUGGAUACUCCCUACUAAAGUUUAGCACCUGUCACAUAGGAUGUUUGGAUACUAAUUAGGAGUAUUAAACAUAGGCUAAUUAUAAAACUAAUUGAACAGAUGGAGUCUAAUUUGCGAGACGAAUCUAUUAAGCCUAACUAGUCCAUGAUUUGACAAUGUGGUGCUACAGUAACCAUUUGCUAAUGGUGGAUUAAUUAGGCUUAAUAGAUUCGUCUCGCGAAUUAACAUAGGGUUCUGCAAUUAAUUUUAUAAUUAGCUCAUGUCUAGUCCUUCUAAUUAGCAUCCGAACAUCUGAUAUGAUACUGCUAAAGUUUAUCACCUAGUAUCCAAAUACCCCCUUAAUGCACGAUGCCUGUGCAUCCACUGGGCCUACCCUCGUGGAUCACGCGCUCGUGGAUCACGCGCACCAUGACAUGGCUCAUUAGCUAGUCGUGCUAAUCCUUACCACCAAAUUAAAAACUAGCAUGUGUUGUGUGUUUGUGACCCUAAACGACUACCACCUUCCCGAGUCCACCGGAGUUGCCAGUUCACCACUAAGCUGACUCUCCGAGCUUCAUGUCACUGUCACCGCUCCAAAGACCUAGAUCGGUUCGCUGUGCACCCCGCUUCGUCCUGAGCUAAAUCCCAUCACGAAAGGUGACCGGAUGCUCGUUUUCGAGCGAAUUCUAGCGAGAUUGCCACCACCUUUCCCCUUCCAGCCGAUCGCAGCUGUCUGAUCACAAACCGACAGCCCAGAUCGGAUUUGACCAGGUCAAUACCGGUCAAGCCGAGAUGCAUGCUGCUUUUGCAAGAAGGCCCCUAUUUUUCUCUCUUUUUGCACUUGAGGUCCUACGCAGUUCAAAAGUAAUUAGAUCUAGAUCCUUUUUCUUCUGUUUUAGCCCUGUUCUUUUAUAAAAUCCCACCCGCCAUCCUGUUUGGUAUUUUGACAUGUUAGACCUUCUAUUUAUAUGUUUAAUUAGGUUUUAGCCCUUGGUUUCUUUAAGUUUAGCUCUUGGAAGUUUAGUUUUCUCGCAGUUAAGCCCCUGAACCUUGUUUAGUUCAUAUCUUUAGCGUUUUAAAUCCGUUUUAAGAGAUUCUUACGCCCAUAAGUUCGUGUUGAUGCAUAGAUUAGUUGACUUAUACGGACCUUGCUGAUUCAGCUCCUUCAUUGUGCUUCAGAUCUCGCUAGUGAAGAAUAAUGGAUGGGCUUUGGUUGAGCUUGUAGAUCGACCUGCAGUUGCAGUGAAUGUGCUGAGGACUGGCGGUACCAAUAAUGGGAGGCCGCUGCUCUGCUUGCUACCAAGGCCUGCGACGCUUGGACGCCAUUCAGAGUGCAUAAUUUCCAAGGAUCUCAAGGGCUCCACACCACGUUCCAAGUGUUUUUUCUUUGCCGAGUGUUUUUAGCUCGGCACUUGGCAAAGAGCUUGUUUGCCGAGUGUCCGAAAAAAACACUUGGCAAAGAGAAAACACUCGGCAAAUUUGAUGUUUCCCGUAGUGAUGUACUAUUCAAACUUGAACUGGGAUGCAGGCUUCAGUACCAAAGAGAGCUCUGGGCGCGGGUGAGCAGUGAGCUGGCCGGGCAGGGAGCUCCAAAGCGACAGCAACAAAGAGAGAAAUGCUAAGAGUAAGAACGACACACGAGGUCACUUCACAUAGAUAAUAGCAGUACGAACCAUACAAUAUCCUCUCUCAGUUUCACUCCGCCUCACACACGGCUAGCACACCAUGCAUGCCGAUUUCAUAUUAUUAAUAUUAUUUUUUGGAUGGUUGUUGAAACUAUAUAUAUAGUUAGUCCAAUCUCACGUUUCCGAUUAUAAAAAUCAACGUAAAGAGAUCGGUAGGGAGAGCCGGCAUAAUGAAGCCGACGCGUGUAAUAAGCACCAGAGCCGGCAUUUAUACAAACUGGUACGAAUAGUAAAAAACUAGAAUUUAUAAAUAAAAAAAUGAUUUGCACAUCUAUGCAAUAAUUAGGGGUUAGUGGCAGGUCUAGAGAGAUAUCUCAUCAUUAUAUCCGGUUUAACGAGGAUAAAAAAGAGUGUAUUUUCCACUCAUCAUGUUGUCUUUUCGCAGCGGUACCACUUUUCGUGUGUUGUAUCGGUCCCCUAAUACGGAGUCUCCGAGGCCCGAGAAAAUAAGGAAAGUGAUAGUAGCCCAGAAAUCGGCCAAGUUUCUUUCCCCUUUGGCUUUCCUACUAGGAUUCAGAAUCCUCUUUCGCAUGACAAUCUUAAUUAUCUCCCAUACUCCAAAACUCACAAAAACAUCAAGAGUCCGCUGAGAAUAAAUUUAAGUAAAAAACAUGCACACACAGAUAAUAAUAAUAAUCAUGUUUCCAUAAAAUUGCUAAGUCCAGAGAUAAUACAUAAACAUAGUAGACUGUUCAUGACACAUAUCACGGUGGACAGUGUUUGUGUCCUUAUUACAAGCAACGAGAGAUGCUCGUCACCAACACGCGCGCGCACAGAUGCACGACAUACAUAUAGUAGAGACCAACAGAUGGUCGUCCCAUAUGGUGAACAAUUUAUUGGAGAUAAAUAUUAACGUAACUUGGCCAUAGCUUGAAGCAUAGCAACAUAUGCCUAUGAGUGGCAUUCAUGCUAUCGUUUUAGGCUUGUCCAGCUCCUUCCAUCUUAGCAAGCACUUCCAUUUCUACCAUCUUAGCAGCAACUGUCAAAUUGAGAUACGGAAAUCCCAUUAGCGCAUGAGUUAAUUUUGCAGUGGAAAUAGAGUACAAGAUGUCUUCAUGAUGUAAGUAAUAUGCCUGAAGUUGUGAGAUGGGAAGUGAAGUCAACAAAUUACAUUAACGGAAAUGCAUGGAAGGCCACACAUACGUAUUAGUCCAUGAUAUGCUACAAAGCUUGUAUGUACAUAUAGCAAAUUAAAUGCAUUAAUUGAAUAGAGUGUGUUUAGUGAAUUUACCAGAAUCGUCCAGAAAACAUGGGAAACAGCAAGUGUUCUUGCAGACUGCGUCGGAGGCACCCGCACGAAUACAAAGCUGACAACAUAGUUUUGCCUGGGCGGAUGCGCAGCAGCCGCACUCCGCCGCGGUGGGGUUAACAUUGAGGCUCAAGAUGACCAGGCACAUGAUCACCAUCAAAGUGGUAGUCCUCUUUCCCUCCAUUGCCUCCUCUUAGCUUGCUGCUACCUUCCUUGGUUACCUAGCUAAGUUUAUUGGUUUUGUGUUGAGAGGUGUGAUUCUUGAAUGGACGUUGCCGGCGGCAAUUUAUAGGCAGCUGAGCUAUGUGAUGAUAUGGACUAGGUGCAAAUGGGUGGUUAAUGGCAAGGAAAGGGGCGUCAGACAAAGCCCAAUGGCAACUGCUGACAUGCGAUUAAAUUCAGAUCCACAUCCGGCCAUUCAAUAAUACGGUUGGAGUUGUGGCACAGAUAUAUUAUUGCAUGAUCAUCAAGAUAAGAUCGUACAGUGACUGAGUGAGACAAUAAAUAGCCAAGUAAACUAUUUUAUCCUGCUGCAAGCUGCAUUCAUAAGUUUAUUUCACCUUUGAUCACAAUACUCUUCACACACGUACGUCUCAGGGAGAUCUCACUUCCGCUGGACUGCUCACUUCCGCUGUCGUCGGUACUGCCAAAGACAUAAGCUCACAUCUGCUAUUGCGGAGCAGGCCAAUUUGCUGCGGAACUUCGGCGACGACCUGAAGGACAUGAACUCGGUGCUGGAGUCCAUCUCAGCAGCGCUCUAGGACGCUGACACCGGUAGAAAAACGACCUUCCAUCGUCAACAAAAAUCCCGGUAGCUUUUUUACUCGGUACUAAAGAGGUUUUAAUCUCGUGCAAACACCUUUAGUCCGGAUUGCUGUUACCACGCAACCCGAACUAAAGCGUCCCCCACGAGUUACUAUAUAAGGAUUGCAUCCUUUACUCAGUCAGAUAUAAUGUGUAGGUGAGAUGGUAAGGAAGCUAUACGUGAGGCUUCAGGUUGUGGGUUCGAAUCCAAGGAGAAGUGGGUGCAGCUGUGGCUUAAGCGGCUGAGGCACGCCGCCAUAGACAUCUCAGAUUUGCUCGAAGACUACCAAGACACUAGUGAACCCUUAACAGUAAAGGUGAGUACUUAUGAAUGUCAGCAUCCAUGUUGUCCAUGCUUCCAAUGUAAUAACAAGAUGGACUACUCUUCCUAGCGGACUCUUCACAACCACUCGUAAAGCUAUACGUUUCUCAAUGCAAUUUCGUAGAAGCCAAUCGAUCCAACCAAGUGACUAAAUCAUUCAUCCUUUCCAAUGAUGUGCAUCAGGUUUUCUACAUGAAGGGCAUCUCUAGCAAACCCAAGAUUUCAGAAGAAAAAGAAAAAUCAUUGGAGCCAAAGAGCCACAUAGUUCUUCCAGGAAAAAAAAAUCAUGGGAGUCGAGAACAAAUCAAACCAAUCAGAGGAUUAUGGUCAGCUUAAUGGCAUGCCUCCAUUCGAUGUCGAAGUUCACCCAAGCAUCAUGUUAGCCAAACAUCAAAUGUUCGUGCGUUGUUACGGUAAAGAUCAAUUGUGUUUUUUAAACUCAUGGAAUUUUUUUUCUAAGUUUUUAUUACACUUAUUGGAUGUCUACACAUUUGCUAGAAAACCAAAAUAAUUUGGACUUAAUUAUUUCUUUCAACUGAAGUACUCACUAAAUUUCUACCUUUUUAUUUAAGCAAGAGAGUUGCUAAAAAAAAUGGAUACAUAACCAUGUUGUAUCGUACAAAGCAACCACAUUUCACAUAUAGUCCGGCUUACCAAACACCAUUUUUUACUGAACAUAGCGUACAUGAGUUAAGAGACAUGGAUUUAUUUCUAUUGCAAGUAGCAUAGCGUACAACCUGCCUGCACCGAUGCAGCUCAAUAUGCGAUAAUUUUUAUCUUCCCAUGUAAUUUUUCUACUCUAGUACAUAUUGAACUCCACAUUAAUGUCAUGUUCUUUGGCGCCCCAGACGGUUCCUAAAGUUUGGAAACAAAAUAGAUAGCCAGAAAUUUUUUUAAAAAAUAUUUAUAUGGAUAUUUGUAUGUUCUUUGCAAACUAACAAUAUUGUUUACCAAUAUCAAAAGGAAUAUGGCUAGGAGCCAUUGCCGCAUAUGGCAGGUGAUGGUAGAUGGCGUAUGGGAUUUCGUUAAUUUAAUGGUAUAAUAAGCUGAAAUACAUUUUCUAUUUGCAAAUGAAUCAUAGCUGAAAGUGGUGAGAUUGUUUUUUCGCCGGUUUAGCAUCCUGUGCACCGGUUCAACUGGAGGGAAGCGGUUCACCGAGACGGAUGACAAUUUUACGGCAGAAUCAUUACUUGUUUUAUUAUUAGGUGAAGAUUUUAGCUUUUAGGUAUCUCACAUUAACAAUCUGUUUCUAGUGUAUAAUGUAGGAGACCCGUAAAGAGUCUACACACACAUAUAUAUGUUGACUAUGAAUGUAAGUUUGUUGGUUUUAUGUAUGUUCAUUUGGAGUUUAUAUAAAUUUUACAUUUUAUAGUUUUGUGUAUAUGACGAAGAUCCAUGACUUGCAUUAAUUUAACCUUUCUUCCAACAACUCUUAUGCAUGCUGUUUCUAGGGGAGCGCACUGGUUGCAAUUUUGGUCCCCGAUAUAGCAUGAGGACUUAAGGGAGACGGGCACGUCGUAACCUUAGAUAUUUUUGCAAGAAGCAAAUUAUACUUUGCUUUUGAUUUUCUCCAUGCCAUUUGCUGACUCUUAUCCCUUUUAUUUAUCAUUAUAAGAUGAAAAUAUUGUAAAAACUUGGUUACGUGCGGUCGCAGAAGCUAGAGACUAUUUCUUUUUUUAAAAAUACGCAAGAGGGAGAAACUUGGUAACAGCUAGACAGUGAAGAUCGCAUUUCAUAAGAAAGAUGGUGCACGUUCUUGUUUGGCUGUUAACGAAAUGACUUCGUUUCACCACACCACCAGAGAGCCCCAUUGCACUUGCAGCAAAAGCGUGGAGCCGCUUUCAACCAGCGUGCAAUAAUGCAGUCCCGCGUGUCUUGGUCUUACAGGAUAUUUGGUUCUUUAGUCCGGACUAAAAUUCAUGUCGCAUAGAAUAUUCAGAUGUUAAAUAGGAGGACUAAACAUGAGCUAAUUAUAAAAAUAAUUACACAAAUGGAGGCUAAUUCCCAAGACAAAUCUAUUAAGUCUAAUUAAUCCAUCAUUAGCACAUGUUUACCGUAGCACCGUAUUGUCAAAUCAUGGACUAAUUAGGCUUAAUAAAUUCGUCUCGCAAGUUAGUCUCCAUCUAUACAAUUUGUUUUAUAAUUAGUCAAUGUUUAAUACUCUAUCUAAACAUUCAAUGUGACUGAAAUUUUAGGAGGUCCUAAAGAACCAAACACCCCUUAGUCUCCGCCUGAACUAUAGCAGGUGCUGGCAGCGGUAGCAGGGUCGUCCAUUAUAUCUAUGGAUGGAAAUGAUCUGAUUCGGAUGGAAUCGAAUUCGAAUAGCACUUUUUACCACAUACUAAUCUGAAUUGGAUGUUCUCGAAUGUGAAUGCAAAACGGAUAGUUCAAAUUUGAAUACUUUGCGGAUUUUUGCAUAAUAUUAAUCGAAGAGAAUUUGUUAAAUUUAGCCGAGACAUAAAUUUUUCUAAAUUCAAAUACUUUGCAGAUUUUCGAAUGCAAAUUUUUUCAUACGAUCUCGGUUGAAUACAAACUUUAUAUCAAAGUUGUAUAUUUAGAUUAUAUAUAAAACUUUGUAGUUGACCUCCUUUUCAUUUAAAAUUUUUUAAUAGCUCAAAACAUUAUUCUAAGCUUUCUAAUUUCAAAAUCUUGAAUUUUAAAUUUUUCAAACGACCUCGGAUGCAAACAAGCUCUAUAUCAAAGUGCUUAAUGAGAUAUAAAAUUUUGUAGUUGACAAGUUUUUUAGUUGAAAACAUUUAGUUAUCACAAACAUACAAGUUCUUCAUUUGAUGUCGAGGAUUGGAAGUGUUGAGUUUGAAGAAUAUAUUCUUUGAUUACAAACUUUUCCAUAUGAUCUUGGAUGAAUACGAACUUUAUUUCAAAGUUGCAAAUUUAGAUUAGACCAAAAACAGUAUAGUUUACAAUUUUUUCAUUCAAAAUUAUUUAGUAGCUCAAAAUGUUAUUCUAAACUCUCUAAUUUUGAAAUCUUGAAUUUUAAAAUUUUCAAAUGACCUCGGAUGCAAACAAGCUCUAUAUCGAAGUGGUAGUUCUUAAUGAGAUAUAAAAUUUUGUAGUUCCAUCUGAGAUCAUUUAACAGUCACAAAUAUACAAGUUUUUCAUAUGAUGCUAAGGAUCAGAAAGAUUAAGUUUGAAGGCUGUAUUUUUUUAAUACAAAUUUUUGCAUACGAUCUCGGAUGAAUACAAACUUUAUAUCAAAAUUGUAGAGCUCGAUGAGAAUUUAAACUUUGUAGUUGAUAUAUUUUUCAUUCGAGAAUGUUUAGUGGUCCAAACAUGUAUUAUAAGUUCAGAGAAGAAACACACAAUCGGCCACGUCAUCAAUUGACAACUUCCAAACUGAGCAUUCCUAUUGGUUCACACCUUUCCCUUUCAACUCGUCAAGCUUAUCUCCUCCCACUCCUCCAUCGUUCACUCCCCCUUCCCCUUCCUCUCUCCCUCCCUCCCUCCGCUCCAGCAGUGGCAGCCCGACCUGCCUCCUAGGACGGUGGUGUGCGGGGCUCGGGCAUCCCUGGCCUCUAGUGGCGUGGCAGGGCGGCCUCCAGCAGCGAUGGCGGAACUCGGCCUCCGGUGGCGCACAGGCAGCGCAGCCUACCUGGUCAAAGGCGGCGCAACAGGGCGACCUCCCCAGCCUCCGGCGGCGCGCAGGGCAUCCAUGACCUCCCCGGCCUCCCUUGCCAGAGGUGGUGCGCGGGGCUGCGCCGACCUCCCCAACCAGAGGUGGCAAGGCCCCAGCUUACGGCGGCGCGUGGCUCCCCAGCUAGGGUGUGGUGGGGCGGCGGCAAGUCAGGCGUGGCCGCGUGGGGGUGGGGGGAGGGGGUUGGGCUGGGCGGAUUCAGAUAGUAUCCAUUUAACCAUCCGAAAUGUGGAUAUCCGUUUAACAAUCCGUUUAGCAAAACCGAAUUUGGAUACUUCCACUUAAGUAUCCAACUAGGAUUCGAAUGCGGAUGGUCCUACCAUAUUGUUAUUUCAGCGGAUACGAAUAUGGGAUAAUUCGAAUAACGACUUACCCAUCCCUGAUUAUAUCCGUGUAAAUAAAUAAUUGCGGCAGCAGGUUCCCGUCGCCACGCCCCCGUCAAACCAAACAAUUGCUUGCGCGACACCGUGUUACUAGAUCUUGUACAGUACUCCCUCCGUUGCAGUACUCCCUAAUGAAAGUUGAGAAUCGAUCGACAACCACGGCUAGUUGCUAUGCACUCGAUCAGAUGGUCCAGGCGCCCGCUGGUAAUCAGGUCGUGGUUCACGCGCAUCAGGCCAGCUAUGACGUUGCCAGCAGUGCUCAGUACACAAAUCUAGCUAUCAGUCGGAUCCAAUUGGGCAGGCAUUUGCACUGUGGUUGUGUUUGAACCUGUAGAUGUCGUUGUCAUUAUCAGGCACCAUACAUCCUCUCUCAGAGGGUGUUUCACCCCCUAAACUUUAGCCCCUCUCACAUCGAAUGUUUUAGAUACUAAUUAGGAAUAUUAAACAUAGAAAAUUUACUAAACCCAUUACAUGGAUGGAGGGUAAACGGCGAGACAAAUCUAUUAAAUCUAAUUAGUCCAUGAUUUGACAAUGUGCUGCUAUAGUAACUAUUUGCUAAUGAUGGAUUAAUUAGACUUAAUAGAUUUUUCUUGCUGUUUAGCCUCCGUCUGUGCAAUUAGUUUUAUAAUUAAUUCAUAUUUAGUCCUCCUAAUUAGUCUCCGAAUAUUUGAUGUGACACGGACUAAACUUUAGAUAGCACACCAGGGACCGACACCAUGCAUGCUGAUUUCAUAUCAUAAUUAAGGAAAGUGAUAUCAUAAUUAAGGAAAGUGGUAGCAUCCAAGAAAUCGAUCAUGUUUCUUCCCCCUUUGGCUUUCCUACUAGGAUUUGGAUAGCGGGCCUUCCUACUAGGAUUUGGAAUCCGCUAUCGCAUGACUAUCUUAAUUAUGUCCCAUAGUCCAAAACUCACAAAACAUCAAAAAUCCAUCGAGAAUAAAUUAAGUAAAAAACAUGCGCACACAGAUAAUAAUAAUAAUAAUCAUGUUUCAAUAAAAUUGCUAAGAUUAGAGAUAGUACAUAAACAUAUUAGAUUGUUCGUGACACAUAUCAUGGUGGAUAGUGUCUGUGUCCUUAUUACAAGCAGCGAUAGAUGCUUGUCACCACACACACGCACGCACAGAUGCACGACAUACAUAUAGUUGAGACCAACGGAUGGACGUCCCAUAGGGUGAAUAAUUUAUUGGAGAUAAAUAUUAACAUAACUUGGCCAUAGCUUGAAGCAUAGCAACAUAUGCUUAUGAAUGGCAUUCAUGCGGGUAGCAAUGCUAUCAUAUGCUUUUAGGCUUGUCCUUAGCUUCUUCCAUCUUAUAGCAAACACUGCCAUUUCUUCCAUCUUAGCAGCAACUGUCAAAUUAAUUGAGAUAUGGAAAUCCCAUUAGCGCAUGAGUUAAUUUUGCAGUGGAAAUAGAGUAGAAGAUGUCUUCAUAAUGUAAGUAAUAUGACUCUGACAUAGGGAGUGAAGUCAACAAAUUACAUUAACGGAAAUGCAUGGAAGGCCACGCAUAUGUAUUAGUCCGAUAUGCUACAAAGCUUGUAUGUACAUAUAAUAAAUUAAAUGCAUUGAAUAGAGUGAUUUUAGUGAAUUUACCUAAAUCGGAUUAAAAAACAUGGGAAACAACAAGUGUUCUUGUAGGGCUUUGUUUAGUUCCCAAAUUGGGAGUAGCAAAGUUUGCAUUUUACCAUAAAUGCGCAACUAUAGCAUGUAGCAUUUUGUUUGUAUUUGUGAAUUAUUAUCCAAACAUUGACUAAUUAGGCUCAAAAGAUUCAUCUCGCAAAGUACAACAAAACUGUGCAAUUAGUUUUUGAUUUCGUCUACAUUUAGUACUCCGUGCAUGUACCGCAAGUUUGAUGUGAUGGGGAAUCUUGCUUUUCAAUAGUGACAAAGUUGGGAUUUCGGGGGGAAGGCCUGUGUCGGAGCCACAUGCAAGAAUGGCUGACAUUGAGGCUCAGACAAAGCCCAAUGGCAACUGCUGACAUGCGAUUAAAUUUAGAUAUCCACAUCCAGCCAUUCACAUUUAUGAGAUAUGGACACGGUGCAAAUGGGUGGGGUCCUGAUAUGGAGGUGCGAAUGGCUGUCUACUUGUAUAGUGUAGCUCCAAUGUACGUAUAUGUAUCUUAUGCAUGUAUACAGUUGCACAAACUCUGAACCAACUCUUCAUAACAGGUCUUUGUUACCAAGUAACUUUACUUUUGCACGUUUCAGCCGAGAGGUAGAAGAGAAUAUUUUUGCAUUUUCCAUGUGCGUCAGUGGUAGAGAACUAGGAAUUAGUUCCGGAUGGUAGGGCACAAAUCUUCCAAACAACUAUCCGAAAUUAAGCAAUCGAGAUAAAGGGUGCCAUCUAUUCUCUCCGAAAAACACAGGUACCAAAAAGAAGAAGAGAAGAGGGAGGGCCUCCCGUUAAGGCCCGCUCGGGGUCUCCAUCCCACCACGCGCCCUCCCAACCCAAAGCCCAUCGUUUUCCCUCCGUCCCUCCCCUCUCCAUUGCCGCCGCCGCUCCCCUCAUCCGAGCUCGAUACGGGUGGUCGGCGGCCCCUCCUCUCCGCUCCCGCCCCCGGCCUCCCUUUGACCGCCGGGCGCCGGCAUCACUGCCGCGGCCAACCCCAGGGCGCAGCGCGUGCCUCUAUUUCUCUCCCCCGUUCAAGGGCCCUUUGAUGGCGACGAGCACCCACCCACCAGGUAUGCCCUCCCCUUCUCUUCCUAACCCUAAUAUAUUCGGAUCUCACCCAGUCACAAUAUAUUACCUAAUAGCUUCGAUUUUGUUUGCAAAAAUCAUCACGUGCGCACCCAUGUCCGCUAGAUUCUUGCGCCUGAUCCUGUGCUGCUAUGGUUUGGGCGGGGUAGACUAGUUGAUUCGUGCACUUUUGGGUGCUUGUAGUGCUAGGUUUUGGAGGGGGAUAGCCCAGUUGAUUCCUCCGUUUUGGGUGCUCAUGGUGAUAGGAUUUGGAUGGGGAUAGCCCCAAUGAUUCGUGCGCCUUUGGGUGCUGGGGAUAGUUUUGGGUGCCUGGAUAGUCCAGUUUCAAUGUCAGUAUAUGCGUAUUUUGGGGAGAAUUUUGUUUUGGGUGGUUCUGGUGCUAGAGUUUCUGAUGCUUAGUAGCCCAGUUUCAAUCAAAUUCCCCCAUGGGUCGUGCACUACGGGAAACAAGAAAAUUGCCGAGUGUAUUUUUUUUGUCGAGUGUUUUUUUUCGAGCACUCAGCAAACAAGCUCUUCGCCGAGUGCCAAGUCAAAAACACUCGGCAAAAAAAAACACUCGGCAAAUCGGGGCUUUGCCGAGUGUCAAAUAAAAAACACUCGGCAAAGAAGGGGGUUUGCCGAGUGUUAAAAAAAACACUCGGCAAACAGGAGGGUUUGCCUAGUGUUUUUUUGACACUCGGCAAAAAAAUAAUUGUUUUUCCUCUUUUCACCUUGAAAUUUUUUCUACUCCCCACAUACAACACGUGGUACUCCAUGUUAAAAUUUGGUAUAUUUUUGGAUUUAUUUGCUAUAUUUAUUUAAUUAAUUGCAUUACAAGGAAAUUUUUGGUAUAAGUCAAAUUUGAACUGCAAGUGAUUCAAAUUGUGGAACAAAAUGAGUAGAAAAAUGAUAUUCAUGUUAUUUGGCUCAAUUUGAGACCUGACCCAUGAAAUGAAAAGAAAUUUCGAACAUCUUGUUCAGGAAACACGACAAUGAACAUGUGGCGGUAGUAUUUUUAAAUUGUAAAAAAAACAAGCAAAGUCUGAAAAUCAUGAGAUUUGUAGUUAUGUGAUGAUAUAAUACGUGGAAGCUGUGGAAAAAAAUUGGAAAGGUUUUGCACAUUUCAUCAUGUACGAUGAUUACAAACCGAAGCAUAUCAGAAGAAGAAUAGUAACUUUGAGAAGGAUUCGAUAAAAUUUAGAGUCGAAGUGACGGUCGAGUUCGGUUUGACUACAAAACUUUUUGUAUAGUCAGUAGAGAACAUAUCUUAUUUCGUGUGAAAAUUUGGUAUUUUUUGAAACUGUUGGAUAUUUUUAAUUUUUUUUUAAAAAAACUUUGCCGAGUGUCCUAGGGUAGACACUCGGCAAAGAAAAACUUUACCGAGUGCCCGCCUAGGACACUCAGCGAACCUUUUUUUAAACCUACCGGCUCCGGCCGGCCCAGCCCACAAACACCACCCGCCCCCCGCCCCCGCGCCUUCUUCCUCACGCCGCCCCCGCCCCCCACCCGUGCCUCCGGACCGCCCCCUCCUCCCCCUGGCCUCCCCUCACGCCGCCCCCCUCCUCCCCUAGCUCCCUCCACCGGCGGCCCUCCCUCCCCCGGCGCACAUCCUCCACUCCUCCUCCCCUUCCCUUCCCUCCCCUCCCCUCCCCUCUUCCUCCCCUGGCCGGAUCUGGCGCCCCUAGCUCCCCUUUCUUCCGCGGCCAGAUCUGGCGCCCUCCCGGCGGCGGGUCGUGGCGAUCGGGGCGGCGGCGGCGGAUCAGGCCGCGGGGCGGCGGCGGCGGCGGGUCGUGGCUACCGGGGCGGCGCCCUGCCCCUCCCCUCCCUCUCCAUCUCCGGCUGCCGUCCACCCCCUCCCCGGAUCCGCCCCCCUCCCCUCCGCGCGGCCAGCCCCUCCUCCCUCUCCGGCCGCCGCCCCGGCCCCUCCUCUCCCUUUCUCCGGCCACCGCCCCGCCCAUCUUCUCUGGAUCCGGCCGGAUCCGGCCGCCGCACAGCCCCUCCUCCCCGGAUCCGGUGGGCGCGGACUUCGUGGUGGUGGCGCCGGAUCCCUCCCCUCCCUCUCCAGAUAACUCCCUCCACUCCUCCGCUCUUCCCCUCUCUCGCGCGGCGGCCUCUCUCCGGCCGCCGCCCCGCCCCUCUCCCCGGAUCCGGGGGGGGGGGGACUCCGCCCCUCUGCCCCGGAUCCAGCUCCCCGACCCGCGAGUGGGGCGAGCUUGCUCAUGCGGUCGACGUCGAGGCCAGGGUGUGGUGGAGGUGGUGGCCGGCGGGUGUGGUGGUGGUGGCGGCGGCGGGCAUGGCGGCGCGGAGGCAAGGCACGGCGGCCGGUGGGAGGCACGGGUGCAAGGCGUCGACGGCAGGAGGCAAGGCACGGCAGCAUGGGAGGUGGUGCUGUGGUGGUGGUGCUGGCGGUGGUGGCGGCGGCGGAGCAGGAUGUGGUGGUGGCGGAGGAUGUUUUUUUUUCAAAAAUUUGUUGCCGAGUGUUUUCUCGGCACUCGGCAAAGACUUUACCGAGUGCCCGACACAAAACACUCGGCAACUCAGUGUUUGCCGACUGAAAAAUUGCCGUGUGCCGUUUGCCGAGUGUUACACUCGGCAAACGGUUCGCCGAGGGUUUUUUGCCCUUCGCCGAGUGCCCCUAGCACUCGGCAAUUUCACUAUCUCCCGUAGUGGUGGCUGGACUUAUGGGGGGAUCAUUGAUGGGGGACUAGUUGGAUACUUUUUGGCUGUUUUGGGAGUCCUUGGCAGCGGCUUCUCAGGGCGUACGUAGCCCAUUGUAGAUUCCAGCCGAGAAGAUUAAGGAAUUGUGACUGCAACCAUGUUACUUUUCUAGGACUCUGUUUCUGAUAUUGUUCCCGCUGCAUCUUUUCAUCCCCAUGGUGAAUGUUGCUGUUGAUCUGUAGAUUGGAUUUGUUCCUCGGUAGCUUUAUUAGAUUUGUGCUGAAUGAUAAUCUCUGCCUGUGAUAUUUUUCUUCAUUGCGGAUGUGUGCCGAGUAUUAUCCCCUUUGUUCAUUCUGUUGGCUUUUUUUAUUGUCUCUGUACUCGGCUGUUCAGCUUGUGCAGCUAAUGAUCUAAUGUAUUUUGUCGUAACUAUGUAUUUUUCGGAUGUGUGCCGAGUAUUAUCCCCUUUGUUUAUUCUGUUGGCUUGCUUUCAUUGAUCUUAAGAUAACUGGUGCUAUAAAUUCACACUAGCUGAUGCACUUGCAAAUAGCUAUGUAAAUAUGAAAAGAAGUAUUUUUUUAUCCUUUUGUUUGUUUGGCAUCAUAUCUGUUUAAAUGGCAUAGCAAUAAGAAUUUUUUGUUUUUGGGGAAUCAUAUCUGCUUAAAUGGUAUAGAAAAUGCUGAGUGCACUGUCAAAUAGAUUUUCCAGCAGUCUGCUUUCAGUUGUUUUUGCAAAUCCUCACAGGCCAGUGAACUGACUUUGUUUUUACCACCCCAUGCCAUUUAAAUGACUAAAUCAGUCAGCCUAAUACUAUAUAUGGUCAUGCUAUGAUCUUAUUUCUUGAAGCUCUAUAGGUCAACCCAUAAGGGUAACUUAGUUUUUCCUAUUCUGGCUGGGGAAGUGGAUACGAUGGCUAUCCUUGGUAGAGUUAAAUACAUUGGCGGCUCUUAGCGCGCCAAUGUGGCACCACAAUAUCGAACAUAUGUAGAAACCCCCUUGUUUUUUCUCAUAUCCCUCUCUCUCAGCGUCCUCUUCUCUUCUUCUCCUCUGUCUCCUCCCCUCCCAUCGCGUGCUUUAUUGCGCCGCCGCCAUCCGCCUCCAUGUAUGAACACGUCGUUUGUCAUGAAGAAGCAGUUGAUGAGGCAAUCAAGCAUGUGGUGCACAAGGUUCUUCUGCUGGCCAAGUCCGAGUCGAACAGCCGCGCAUUCAUUGGGGAAGCACGCGCCAGGCAUCACCAGGCUCCUCGUGCCCCUACUCUGCUCCAAGGACUCGGUGCUUCGACGCGCUGCUUUCCCUGUCCGGCGAGCGGGGAUCGUUGGGAGAUGAUCGAUGGAGGAUGGAGCUGAUCCUCCUGUACACGGUGCCGGUGGGGAGCAGGGAGCUGCGGAGCAGGUCCACGGGCGGCGCCAUUACAGCAGGUGCAGGCUAAGGGUAAUGAGCAGAUCGAGGCGAUGGAGGAGGACCCGCACGAGGUGCAGCUUCUUCGCCUCCUGCGCAAAGUCAGCGCCCAAGCAGCCGCUGAGGGACAGGCCGAGGCUUAGCUCGAUCUCAUCCGACUAAAUGGUGGCUGCACUCCCACAGUCCCACUGGUGCUCCUCCCUUCUGUCCGAACCUGCCGAGGAAAUCCCUCGAUGCCAUGGGUCCCGGCUGGACGACUACUCCUCCCACAGAUUGACUGAGGAAGAAGAGCUUCUCAGUGUCCAAAAAUUCAGUUACACUGGAAACAGCAACCAAUUACGUUCUUCCGGCUCAGCCAAGCCCCAAUCUCCUUGCUUCUGUGCGCCCCUGCUAAAUAUUCCAGAAACCAAUCUGGUUAGUUGUUUUUUCACAUUUUCAGUGCAUGCCGGUGCUGCUGUGUGCGGCAUGCAUGGAGUUGUCGUGGGAGUGCACGGUGGCUUAGCUGGUGCGCCAGUGCGCGGGCACGAACACAACGGUGAAGAUGGCAGGGCCAUCUCAAAGCUCCUGAGCACCUGCACGCGUCGCUGAGCAGGACAUGCUGCGACGGUGGGCGAGCGCUGCUAACGCCCUGGGGAAGAGCAGUGGGUGCAGAGAGAGGGAGCGAGGGAGAGGGGUUCUUGUAUAUGUUUGCUAGCGUGGCACCGUUUACGGUGCCCGCCUAAGUGGCAUUCACGUGUCAUUCAUCCCAAAUGGUGUUGCAAGGUUGAACCUAUUGUGGGAGGCUUUUGGUUUCCCUUGACAGUAUCACCAGUGAUAUCACUGCGUUCUGGUUAUGUAUGAAACACUUGUCCUUUUAAAACCUUUCUGAAUUUAGAAACGAAUUUGAAACAUUACCCUCAUUUCCAUGUUUUUCUAUCUUUUGUCCCUGUAAAAUCAAACUAAAUUUGAAUUAUUAUGUUCAGAACUACAAGCUGAUUUACUUGUCCCAUUUGCUAAUAACAGGGCCUUGUGAUUUCUAAUGAACAUUGCAGAGCAUGUUAUAAAGCGUAUGCAUGAACACCAAGGGGAUGAAACCAUUGGUAUAUUUCUCACAACCUUUUGAACUUAUCAUUUAGCAUAUUUGUGUUCUAGUGUGACGUUUCAGCCACGAGACAUGAGAAAUGUUAGCUAUGGAUUUUGGUUAUUCAUCAUGGGUUCACAGAUUUGUUUUUCUCUAAAAGAAUUGGGAAGUAGCUUUCUUUCUGGGUAUAUGUGGGGAAAUGCAUAUGCAAUCUUUUAUUUAUUGAGGUGACUGUAAAAUUCUUGUCUGACUGAAUAUGCGAUUUCAACCUACAUGCUAUACUUAGGGAAAUUUGUGAAUCUCCUAAUGUCUGCUGCAUGGCAUGAAUGCAUAUUUUACUGGUCCAUAAUGUGAAGUUCUGUAUAUAAACUUCUCGUGUUGACCCUUUAGAACAUGCUAACUGGAGAGUUUUCUAGAGUAGUUAAACAAGAGAUUUAGUUAAAUCUGCACACAUAGGUGGGGCCUGGCAUACCCUAAGAAUCGGCCUAGCCGGUCAGCCCAUUAGUAAAAAAAAAAGCACCGCAGUCAGCAGUCCCCACGUUGGUCUUCCUCGAGUCGCGACUCGCGAAGCUCCCAUCCUCCGAGUCCAAGAUGGUGGACUGUGUCGAGCGCGGGGCGGGCGAUUAGUUGCCCGGCCGCCGGCGGGGGAUGGCCGGACGGCCAGAUCGCCGACUCCUCUAGUCCUCCCUCCAGCCUCUGCGCUUCUUUCACAGUGGAGCUAGCGGCGAGGCGCCCGACCGACACCCUUCUUCCCAAAUCCCGGCAGCCCUACCUCGAUUUGGCCUCCUCCGAUCAUUUGAUAAUCAAUUUGAUGAAAUUAAUAUGGAGUUGCUUUCUUGUAUGGUUGCCUUCAAUCCUGCUAAUUCAUUUGCUUCAUUUGAUGCACAAAAGAUACAUAGACUUGCUAUAUUUUUAUCCACAAGACAUCACAAGCACGGAUUUGCUAAAACUUGAAUUCCAGCUCGAUAUUAUAUUGAUGAUGUGAGAUAGGAUGAUAGUUUCAAAGGCCUACAAGAUCUUGUUAACUGAGACUCAGUUAAGCUUGUUGAAACAAACAGGCAUAAUAUUUAUGACUUGGUUUACUUGCUUCUCAAAUUGGUAUUGGUUCUUCUUGUGGCGACAGCUAGUGUUGAAAGGGAUUUUUGUGCAAUGACUUUGAUCAAGAGUAAGCUAAGAAAUAAGAUGGGUGAUAGUCUUUUGGAUGAUUGUCUUAUCACAUUCAUUGAGAAAGAUAUUUUCUUUGAAGUGGAUGAAGAAGAUAUAAUUAAGACUUCAUAUCCAUUAGAAAUCGUAGGCUGGAGAAGAAGUAAUAUUUUAAUUUUCUUUGAACGUUAGGUCUGUAAGCUUCUUUUAAACUAUCUACAUUAUAAUUUAUGGACCUUUUAAUUUAACCGUUGAAUUCAUGAUAUUAUGAGAUUUUUUUAUCUAUGUUAUUAUUGUUUACCGAUUUAUUACCAAAUUAUUAGUUUGAUCUUACAAUAUUGUAUUUUGGAUGAUUGGCUCGGCAUACUCUAAGUUUAAAUCCUAGCUCCGCCACUGUUUGCACAUUAAUGUGGCUUAUAUGUGUGGAGUCACUUAACCUAUGCACUUGGACCUCCACUCCCUUAGGUUUUAUGAACCUAAUUUGACAGCCUGCUCGUCUUUUAUUUUCUACCAAUCAGCUAGGAACGAACAUGGUGAUGUUUGCAUCUCUGCCAUCAAUGGCUUACAUGUCAUUAUGUAUCACAUUAGCAAGUCUUGUUUUGUUAUUGGCUGGGAUGACGGGGACUCUAGCUGGAAUUGAAUCAAAGUGGUAGAUCACAGGGUAUUCAUUGCCAUGUAUUUCUGCAGUUGCAUGGACUUGCAUCAAACGGACCUUCCUACUUAUGUGAUUGUCCUAUAUGAUCUCCUUUGAUUUCAUUUGCACACUGUAAUCACAUUAGCUAGAACACUCGCUUUUUGCUUCAAAUUUGAAAUUCAUAUCAUGAUGGACUAGAACGCUGAAUUUCUUGAUUGCUGAGUUACUAAUCACAUUGUGGCGCUGCCAAAGAAGCUGGACUCUUCAUUGUUGUUGCCUUGUGGGCUGCCGUGUGCAAAGAACAAGAGCGCACGGUAUUAUAAUAGCAGAGCAGAACACAGACAAGCGACAAGGAGCGGAGCAGAGCAGAGCACAGCCAGGCACAAGCAGUAGAGUAGAGCAGAGCAACCGGGAGAGGAGAGGGCACAUAUGCAGAGUAGAGCAGAGCCAAGCGCAAGCAUUCAUGCACUCAAGCAUGCAGCAGAGGUGUAGCAAGGCAAGCACAAGCAGCAGAGCAGAGGGAAGGGAAGGCUGGGAGAUGAAUAGGCGAAUAGUUACCUGGACAGAGCAGAGGGAAUGGAGAUGAUGCAGAUGCUUCCGGAGACUCGAGAUUUGGAGAGGAACAAGGCCACGUUGUGAACAAGGUCUCCUUUCUCUUCUCUAUUUCCCGCGCAAGUACUUGUGCAUAGUGGCUGCCUCAUCCUCCAGGACGUCCACUUCAACCUGAGGCGGGUGCCACAGACAUCCUGGCUAUGCGACGGCUACCCCCAGCACACCCCCGGCGCCUAUGAACCAUGAUCCUAAUACUAUAAAUUGUCAACCUUGUAAUCUUAUUUCAAGCAUGCUCUCUAUGUCAACCUGUAAGGUUAACUUCGUUUUUCCUUUUCUGGGUAGGGGAGUGGAUAUUGCUGUUAUUUAUAUUAUGUUGAUAUUGGUUUCCACAUGUCAUUCACCCCAAAUGUGUUGCAAGGUUGAACCUAUCAUCGGAGGAAUUUUUUUCCCUUUACCUUUAUAUCACUACGCUCUGGUUAUGUAUGAAACACUUGUCUUCUUAAAAACCUUAAUUUAGAAACAAAUUUGAAACACUAUCUUCAUUUACAUCCUGUAUGUGUUUUCUACCUUUUGUCCUAUAUGAUCUGCUUUGAUUUGAUUUGUGCAUAGUUUUUUCAAUUCAGACCUGGUGAUUUCUGAGGUUCAUGUUGUGCUGAUAAGCAGCCUACUAUUCAGUAACACUUUCAUGUGGCAUGUUCAUGUUAGCUAGCUAGAAACACUGCUUUUAGCUUCAAAAUUCAAAUUCAUGACAUGAUGGACAUUGACAAUGAAUUUCUUGAUUGCCGAGCUAUGUACACUGUAAUUCAGACCUGGUGCUUUUAGUUUUUUUCUUGAUUGCCGAGCUAGAAACACUGUGCUUUUAGUUUUUUCAAUUCAGACCUGGUGAUUUCGGUUUUUUCAAUUCAGACCUGGUGAUUUCUGAGGUUCACGUGUCACACCGAUUUUAAGAACAAAAUCGAGUGCAUUAAAUAUACAUGUACGCUAGGAUCAGGUUACACACAUGUACGACAUAAGCGAAUAUCAAAGACAAUGCCAUAACGAAAUAAAGAGAGUAUUAAUCAUUAUUACAUGACCGAAAGUCUCAAAUAAACCACAAAAUCUAUUUAUUACAUAGCGGAACUUCUAAGAUAGCAACGUCUCCACAGGCAGCUGACUGAAGAACUGUAUGCCUAGAACUCUUCAAAAUCGUGCAGGUACUCCUCCAGAUUAGCUUGGUAUGAACAACGGUUUUGCAAGGGUGAGUACACUUAUGGUUGGUACUUAAUAAGUCGUGGGAAACAAUGUAGUGUAAGGCAAAUCAAGGUAUGGCUAAGGCUUAAACAGCAUCAGCUUUUAAUUUAGUUGGUCAAAUUUUAUUAGCAAUUAAUUAGACGUAAAUUUAUACCACCCGAAAUUAAACAAGAACAUGAAUAAAAUAAUAACAUAACCAUAAAUGAAAUGACAACAAUUUAAAUCCAUCUUUUCAUAGCAUUAUCAUGUGAGGGUCCAGUCCGUUCUUAACCGUGAGCACCGCUGAUCGAUCAGUUUUACACUCUGCAGAGGUUGUACAUCUUUACCCACAAGUCGCGUAAAAGUUCAAAAGAAUUUUGGACCCAACCAUGCGGUAUUUGCAAGGCACCAUACCACACUUCCAAGGUGUGAUUGCAUAUGAACGCUACGAGGCCUUUACAAAGAUUCAUUAGUAAGUGGUAACCCGCUAAGGUUUCGGUAUUUGGCGUGCACAACCUAUCACAGGCCGCUAAUGCAACGACUCAGUCCCCCCUCUUGCCUCAUCACGAGUAAGAUUACCCCAGACUAAGGUUUCUAAUUAUUCAGCCAAGAUCAGAACCAUUUAGUCUUGUGGUAGCACUGUUUUCCUGGGUGGUUCUCCAUGUUCCGAUUAAACAUAAUGGUCUUGUAUUAAUGGAAGGUAUAACAUAAAUAAUACCAAAUUAAUAAUAAUUCAGAUUAAAUCACCAUAACCAUAUUUGAGCACUAAGCAUGAGCUACCCAACAUAAAUUUAACCCGGUUGGUCAAGGCAAGGUAGAUAAAGUCUAGGAAAUUCUUAAUUGGGACCCAUCAAGUUUAAAUUAUACUUUGCAUGGUAUGUUGCAUAGAACAUGAAAGUAAAUGUGAAUAGGACUGAAAAGGAGUGAUUAGGGACACGACUUGCCUUUUUAACCUUGUUCUUGCUGUUCGUACUCUUCGAAAACUUUGAUCUUCAAAUCCCUUGAACUGCUGACCGUCUACACGCGUCACACGACCACAUACAAGCAAACAAAUAUAAUACAUAAGAAAACAGUACACCAAUCAUAAUUAAAUAGAAGAAACAAAUUUGAAAAGCUAUUCUACGCAUUAAAACGAAAACACGGAUACAAGGAACGUUAAAAACGGAGCUACAGUGCAAAAACUACGCUUAAAACAAGAUGCAGGGGUAUAACUACGAGAAACCAAACUUCCAGGGAUUUAAUUUUAAAUAAUUUUGAACUGCAGAAGGGGCAGCAGGGCAAAACGUAGAAAAUGCAGGGGCUUAAGCGCAAAAGCAUGGCUGCUGACUCAGCUGACUUGAUGUGGAUCGUCGGAUGGCGAUCCGGCGGCCGGCAGCUGCUGCGCUGACGUCAGCGACGGCGAGCGCCGGCGAAAAACGGCAGUUCGCCGGAAUCGCCCGGGAACGCGCGACUGGGUGCAGAUUUGAGCGAGGAUUAGACUAGCAGAUAGAAACGAGCGCAGUGAACUCAUUUGGGAUGCCUACGGCGAGGACUUGGCGACGGCAUCGGCUCCGGCGAGAACUUGCGGCAGGGAAACCAAAUAAAAUAAAAUAACACGGUUCAGAGAAGCGGCGCUGGAGGAACGCGAGCGAUUUUGCGUGCGAGCGGAAGAAAACACUGCGAGGAAGAUGACUGCGGGCCCUGCUUGUCUGCGGCAGGAGGAGAGCUGCGUGCGAGAAGAACCUGGCCACGAUCUGGGCCGUUGCCUUCGAUCUGGGCCGAGGCAAGCUAGCUGGCCCGCUGCUGCGGAAAGGUGCUGGGCCACGGGCGGAGCACAGCGUCGGGCCAGAAAGGAGAUGGCUGCUGCGAGGAAACAAAAGAAAAUGAACUGGGCUGCGACAGAGGAAAACUGGGCGUCGGCCAGAAAGAAGCUGCGUGCAGCUUGCUCUUGUUUCCGAACUAGAAACAGGAACUGACGGAAAGACAGAAAUCAAUUGGAGACUGAAACUGACGCCCCAGACUCUGAACUUCGAAAAAACAGGACAACCAGCCAACUGACAGAAAAAAAAAAGCUUAACAACCCAAAAGCAGUACACAACCACGAAACCAGGCCACAAGACUGAAAAAGCUUGAUAGGAACAUCUGGCGACUGAACCAAAAAACUACAGAACUGCAACUGAAGAACUAGAGAACAGAUAAAUAACUGAUUGAACUCUGAAACUGAAACACCAAAGAGCAGGAAGCUGACUGACGGAAAAUGCAAAACAGCAACCCAAGGUGAAACACAAAUUCUUCUUCAAGCAUUCAAACAAAGAGAUAUGCAACAGCAUGAAUGCUCAAUAAAAUCCUAUAUUUCAUUAAUUAAUUAGAAAAAAUGCUCAAAUGCCUAGAAAAAUGCAAAAGUGACCUUAUAUGCCUUAAACAAGCAAAUUCGUUUCUAGCGAUUUUUGGUAAAAUGCAAAAUUAGAGAUUUUGGGUGUUACAUCAUGUUGUGCUGAUAAGCAGCCUACUAUUCAGUAACACUUUCAUGUGGCAUGUUCAUGUUAGCUAGCUAGAAACACUGUGCUUUUAGCUUCAAAAUUAAAUUCAUGACAUGAUGGACAUUGACAAUGAAUUUCUUGAUUGCCGAGCUAUGUACACUGUAAUCACAUUGUGGGGCUGAUAAAAUAAGCAGCGUUGAGACACAUAACAAUUGAAUCUUAAGCUUCACACAGAAUCUGGACCAGUCAUCCUCAUUCCUGUCAUGCUGGAAAUGUCUUUGAUACAUUUCAAUCACAGGCAAUUGAAUUCGUACUGGGGAGGAUGGCAAUGGUGCAUGAAGAGAGAUCAAUGUGGCAAAUCUCACAUUGUUCAUUACCAGGUAUCUCCGAUUUCUGGUUAUUUUAAAUUUACCUUGACAUGUGACUUAUUGAGGUAUUGUAUUUCAUCUAAUGGUAGUUCUGAAUUUAUGGUAACCUUGGAUGGGGUUUGUCACUUUAUACACGCACGGACUUACAAAGGACAGCAAAUGAGUAUAUUUAGAGGGCUCCUGUCCAACCAUGGACUAUACUUAUGUACCCUUUUUUGACAUGGUAAUUUGAGGUUAAUGGAAAAGUAGCGAUAGUCGCCUCCAGCGAAGCUACCUUCUUCGAAAGCUCCGAGGCUGCUUUCUCGCUCUUAGCAAGCCGAUCCCUCGUAAUCAUCGAAGAGUAAGAGACCUACAGAUUUUAAAAACCAAGUUACCAAAAAUAACGAAGUAAAAGACAACACUCGCAAGACAAACCACCAAACUAUCUCAUAAUUGUACCUUCUUUACGAGGUUCGCCUCCAAGUUAAAGAGCUCUUCCAAGAUCAUUGACUUCACAGCUUGCUGAAAAUCUAUGCGCCAAAGGAUAUAGUCGUAAGCAUAAAAUAAAAAUUGGUAAAAACCAAGGACAGCAAAGCCAUCUACAAGCUGUUCUUACCCUCAUACUUUCGCACCUCAACGGCGAUCGGAACAACCUUCUCUCUAGCCUCGCCCUUAGACGCCACCACAAUCUUCCCGCCACACAAAUCCACAACCCCUCCUUUACCUUUGCCCUCUCCCGAAGUCGUCGUGCCCGCCUUCUCCACCCUUUUUGAACCGCCAACAUCUGCAUAGCGCUCGCAACCUUCACCUUCAGCCCCCCAGACCAAAGACAGGUUGUGAGGAUUAUAAACCCUACCUUCGGCGCAUGUAGCUAGAAUCUCCGUGCGCCCGCUCAAGCCCAGACACUCAUUCAGUCCCUGAAGCCCCGCCGGCAACCUCUCACCUACAUCAUAACAUUCAACUUUUAGCCUCACAUGAUCCUCACAACUAACCUUACCAACGCCCCCCAUAGUUUCUUCCAAGUCCUUCAAAAAUUUCGUUGAGGCCUCACCACAAUCAAAGAACCGUAGCAUCGAUAGAAACACCUCUACAUGCUUACCAGAUCUCACAGCUUCGGCACACCCACCCUUUGGAUCAGAUGAGAACGCAUCCACAAGCUUCGCCUUUUCGGUGGCAAACCCCCUCUCAAGUUUCCCAACAUCAGUCAAGAGAUGUUGCGCGCUCUUAAACUUCGAGCUUAUGGAAGGCACCGUGAUCUUGGUACCAGCUGCCGAAGACGCGUCAACCUUGGCACCCGUAACAGUAACAGGAGCAAAUCGAGGUUUCUUGGCGCCUCUUUUGAUCCGUGCGGCGGGCCCGGUGGAUGAAGGUGCAAGAGCUGGAACCUCCUUAGGAGGGCGCAUAGAGACAGGAACAACAUAUGCCGGAUUGCUCAAGUCGCCAGACGAAGCUGUCGACCACGAUGGCAACAUAGCAGACGAAGCCCCCGCGGUCAUUUCCUUCCUUUUUUGCGCCUCCAAAUUCAAGGUCUUUUGCUUCGCCUUAGCGGUCACUUGCAAUUCAAUAGUGAGCUUCACCAUGGGUACGAAGUCAAAUUUUGCCUUUUUCCUCUGCUCAAGACUAGCACCGCGACGGCGCCUCUUGCCCGUAACUUUGGGGUGAGGCAGAACCACAAUAUCAUACAAGUCAAAAAUCUAAGAUGAUGACAUUCCAUUUGUAUCCAUGAUUUAUAUUGUGUUCCUUGAAUAUCCAUUAAAGUCUACUUGAAUUGAUUUGCAAUUAUGUGAAUUGUAUGUGAAACUCUUUCCUUGUAUGGUUAUUCUAAAGUUGUCCCUAGUCGGAGUUCAUGUGAGGACACAUGAAUAUUAGACUAGCACAUGUAUUAGUUGAUGACUAUGUUUCACAAGUCAUGGACAUGAAGAUGUGGAACUAAUAAUGUGGGCACAUGUGGAGACACGUGCUAGGACUGACCCAACACGAGAAGUAGUUCUCUCUUUAUACAACAUAUACGCUUUGUCCUUAGACCUGAGAUUGUCGCAUGUACUCAAGAUGUGGAUCGACUUACUUAGGGGCUAUCAAAUUCUACGCCGUAACAGGGUAGUUAUAAAGGUAGCUUUCGGGUUUGUCAAGAAGCAUGCUAUGAGACAUGGUCAAUCAAGAUGGGAUUUGCCCCUCUCUGAUUGAGAGUGAUAUCUCUGGGCCCCUCGAGUGAUCGGAUCCGAAAAUGCAUGGCCAUGCUACAUACGAUUAAGAGUUAGCCUACAAAAGGAUUCCGAAUCAUAGGAUCGAGAAAGAGCGGUCGGCUUGAAGCUAGACCAAAUAUCGUGAGGCAAAGGGAAUAGCAUGUAUAUAAUGUUGUGAUGGUUCGUCUGAUAUGAUCUUCGUGUGCGUAUAGGAGUUGGCACGUCUUGCUAGAGGUCGCUACCGACUAUUGGGCCGAGUAGGAGUACUCAGGCCAUGUCUAUACGUAUCCGAACCCAUAGGGUCACACACUUAAGGGGCUGGAAGCCCAAUUCGGAUGUGAUCCGAAUUGGAUUAGGUUUAGAAGUACUAAUGGGCCUUGGACCUAGAGGCCCGUUAGGAACCUCUAUAAAUAGAGGGGUGGGGGCGCCCUAGGGUUUACACCUUUUUGGUGAAACACAUCUGCCGCGCCUCCCACGCCUUCGCCUGUUGCAACUCGCGGACCUAGCAGUCCGGCUUGCGACGCUUCCUCCCUGCACGUGUGGAUACCUUGGAAGUGUUGCUCCUGCAGCACUUGGACGAGCCGCCAACGAGCCACGACGAGCCACGAUGAGCCGACGAUGAGCCGCGGCACGAGGGGGAUCUUGCUGCACGUGGACGAGCUGCUGAGGAGCUGCUGGACGUCGAUGUGUUCGACUACGUACGACUACGCUGAUCGACUUCGCUGCAUCAACGCGAAUCUACAUCUUCCGCAUCAUUGCAUCGAGUGGUAAUCCCGUGAUCCUGAUACGGCAGUUUUCCUAGUUUACGCGGUAGAAAAUUUUGUUUUGUGCUAGUGUAGCCUAACUCAUAUCCCAACAACGUGUGCUAUAGGUCACGCAAGCCUGAAAAUGGCCACACCGGACACCGGGUACGAAAACAUGGGGGAUGGACCGAACAUUUGAAAAUGGCCUCCAUAUGUGUUUUCGGCUAUGAAAAUGUGUGUUAUAGGUCACAGAAGCUUGAAAACGGCCGCACCAGCCACUAGGGACGAAAACGUGGGGGAUGGACCAAAGACAUAAAAAAUAGCCUCCAGACGCGUGUUCGGCCAUGAAAACGUGUGGUAUAGGUCCUGGAAGGCCAAAAACAGCUACACCGGCCACCUGGGACGAAAAAGUUUGUGUAAGACCGAACACUUGAAAAUAGCCUCUGGACGCGUGUUCGGCUAUGAAAAGGUGUGUUAUAGGUCACACGAGCCCCAAAACAACCACAGCGAACACCAGCUACAAAAACAUGGGGGAUGGAUCGAAUAAUUGAAAAUGGCCUCCAGACGUUUGUUCGGCCAUGAAAUCGUGCGUUAUAGGUCGCGGGAGCCCGAAAACGGCCACACCGGCCACCGGGAAUGAAAAUGUGGGGGAUGGACCGAACAAUUAAAAAUGGCCUCCGGAUGUGUGUUCGGCCAUGAAAACGUAUGUUAUAGGUCACGGGAGCAUGAAAACGGCCGCACUGGCCACUGGGGACGAAACGUGGGGGAUGGACCGAAGACGUGAAAAUAGCCUCCAGACGCAUGUUCGGCCAUGAAAAUGUGUGCUAUAGGUCAUGCAAGGCCAAAAACAGCUGCACCAGCAACCGGGGACGAAACCAUGGCUGUCAAACCGAACGCUUGAAAAUCGCCUUCGGACGCGUGUUCGGAUAUGAAAACAUGUGUUGUAGGUCACGCGUGCCCGAAAACGUCCACAACGGACACCGGGUACAAAAACGUGGGGGAUGGAUCGAAUAACUGAAAAUGACCUCCGAACGCGUGUUCGGCCAUGAAAACGUGUGUUAUAGGUUGCGGGAGCCCAAAAAUGGCCACACCGGCCACCGAGGAUCAAAACGUGGGGGAUUGACCGAACAAUUAAAAAUGGCCUCCGAUUGUAUGUUCGGCCAUGAAAACGUGUGUUAUAGGUCAUGGGGGCCCAAAAAUGGCCGCACCAGCCACCAAGGACGAAAAUAUGGGAGAUGGACCAAAGACAUGAAAAUGGCCUCCAGAUGCAUGUUUGGACAAAAGUGUGUGCUAUAUGUCGUGCAAGGCCAAAAACAGCUACACCAGCCACCGGGACAAAAACGUGGGUGUUUGACUAAACAAGUGAAAAUGGCCUCCGGAAGCAUGUACGGCUAUGAAAAUGUGUGCUAUAGGUAAUGGAAGGCUAACAAAAGCUACACCGGCCACCGGGGACAAAAUCAUGGGUGUCAGACUGAACACUUCAAAAUGGCCUCCGGACGCGUGUCCGGCUAUCAAAACGUGUGUUAUAGGUCAUGCGAGCCCGAAAACAACCACACUGAACACCGGGUACAGAAACAUGGGGGAUGGACUGAAUAACUGAAAAUGGCCUCUAGACGCGUGUUCGGUCAUGAAAACAUGUGUUGUAGGAUGCGGGAGCCCGAAAACGGCCACACCGGCCACCAGGGCAUGGACCAAACAAUUGAAAAUGGCCUCCGGAUGUGUGUUCGGCCAUGAAAACGUGUGUUAUAGGUCACGGGAGCCCAAAAAUAGCCGCACCGACCACUGGGGAUGAAAUCGUGGGGGAUGGACCGAAGAUGUGAAAAUGGCCUCCAGAUGCGUGUUCGGCCAUGAAAACGUGCGCUAUAAGUCAUGUAAGGCUAAAAAUUGCUACACCGGGACUAAAGCAUCCCCCAUGAGUUACAAUAAAAGGAUUGUAUCCUCUACUCAGUCGGAUGUACUGUGUAGGUGAGAUGGUAAGGAAGCUAUGCGCGAGGUUUGAGGUUGUGGGUUGAAAUCCUACGCACCGCGCGCACACGCGCAUAUUUUGUGUGAAAAAUCAUGUGACUUGUGAUCGGCCAAGGAGAAGUGGGUGCAGCUGUGGCUUAAGUGGCUGAGGCACGCUGCCAUAGACAUCUCCGAUUUGCUCGAAGACUACCAAGACACUAGCAAUAACAAGAACUACUGCUCUUCCUAGCAGACUCUUUACAACCACUUUAAAGCUGUGCAUUUCUCAAUGUAAUUUCGUAGAAGGCAAUCGAUCCAACCAAGCGACUAAAUCAUUUGUUCUUGCCAAUGAUGUACAUCAGGUUUUCUAUAUGAAGGACAUGUCUAGCAAACCUAAGAUUUUAGAAGAAAAAGAAAAAUUAUGGGAGUCAAUAAUAAAUCAGGCCAAUCAGGAGAUUAUAGUAAGCUCGAUGGUAUGCCUCCAUUCGAUGUCGAAGUUGGCCCAAGCAUCAUGUUAGCCAAAGAUCAAAUGUUCGUGCAUUGCUACGGUAAAGAUCAAUUGUGUCUUUUAAACCCAUGGAAUUUUUUAUCUAUGUUUUUAUUACACUUAAUGGAUGUCUACACAUUUGCUAGAAAAUCAAAAUAAUUUUGACUUAAUUAUUUCUUUCAACUCAAAUACUCAUUAAAUUUCUACCUUUUUAUUUAAGCAAGAGAGUUGCUCAAAAAAUGGAUACGUAACCAUGUUGUAUCAUACAAAGCAACCACAUUUCACAUAUAGUCUGGCUUAGCAAACACCAUUGUUGUCUUAACAUAGUGUUCAUGAGUUAGUAGACAUGGAUCUAUUUCUAAUUGCAAGUAGUGCAGCGUACAACCAGCCUGCACCGCCGCAGCUCAAUAUGCGAUAAUUUUUUAUCUUCCCAUGUAAUUUUUCUACUCUAGUACAUAUUGAACUCCACAUAAAUGUCAUGUUCUUUCACGCCACAGACGGUUUCUAAAGUUUGGAACUAAAUAGAUAGCCAAAAAUUUUAAAAAAAUAUUUAUAUGGAUACAUGUAUGUUCUUUGCAAACUAACAAUAUUGUUUACAAUAUCAAAAGGAAUAUGGCUAUGAUCAUUGCCGCAUAUGGCAGGUGAUGGUAGAUGCCGUAUGGGGUUUCUUUAACUUAAUUGUAUAAUAAGCUGAAAUACAUUUUCUAUUUGCAAAUGAAUCAUAGCUGAAAGUGGUGGGAUUGUAGAACCGCCGGCCAUCGUGUCCUUGUAGGACCGCUGCACGAGCCUGUGAGCCACCAGCCACCAUGCGCCCAAGGGCCAUCACCACGCCAUAAGAGGAUGCUGUCUACCCGGUUUCGCGCGCCUGUGCUAGCUGCCUGAACCUGGGCCGCCGCCGGUCGCCUGCCCAGCCGCGCGUUGCGCCAGGGUUUUGCUGGUGACGACCAUGGCCUUCGCGAUCAAAUUAAAAAGUUAUCAACUGCAAAGUAUUAGGUCUCGUUGAGCUCUACAAUUUUGAUAUAAAGUUUCUAUUCAUCCGAGAUCAAAUAAAAAAUUUGAUACUCAAAGCAUAAAUCCAUUAAUCUAGUCUUGCUAAUCCUUACCACCAAAUAAAAAACUAGCAUGUGUUGUGUGUUUGUGACCCUAAACGAUCACAAAUGAAUAACUUAUGGGCCUUGCUAGCGCCCGGAUGUCCAGGCCGGGGCACUAGCAUCAGACCCACGAGUAGCCGUCCGAUCAGGUUCGACACCACUUCAGGAUCUGGCUUAAAAAGAAGUCCCACCGAAACAUUGUUCCAUGUUGCAUGAAGCAACCCACUACCGUCGCCAGGUCUAGAGCAAGCACCACCUUCAAAUGUGCUGCUCACCCUAGCUAAAUAGGGGCAUUAAAAUAUUUCUCGCAUAUCCUUCUCAAAUUAAACAAAAUCGCAACAUCUGAAAAUUUUUACAGAAAACCAUGAAACAUAUCGAUUAGAUAGAUGUAACAAGAUGGAAUAUGGUAUAUGCAACAUAUAGGUUCCGAAAAGCAGAUGAAAUAUUAUGUAAUGAUUCUUGAAACAGUCAAGAAAAAUAGAUGUAACAUCUAAAAUUAAGAAAAGAAGCUUUAUGCAAAUUGCAAAAAGCUGAAACAAGUGGUUGAAACAUUUCAAAUCACCAAAUGCCACAUUUGAAAUGACCAGAUGAAACAUCACGAAAUCAAUUGCAACAGUUGAAGAUGAAAACAUUCAAAUGCCUUGCCUUUCUCCAAAUUUGACCCUCCAAGCAUGAGUCCAGCCAUUUGCACAUUAGACCCUUGGGAGGAGCUCACCGGAGAACAACAAGACCGUGUUAUCCAACAAUUUUCAGAUCAAAUUGCAACAUAAAGAACAAAGCAUUGCAACAUCUGGCAUCACGAGCUACAACAGCAACCAGUUAGGAUCAGGAGAAAGAGGGCAAACACAAGCCUAACAAUGAGUUAUAUCCGGUUUAAACAAGGAUAAAAAUGAGUGUAUUUUACACUCAUCAUGUUGUCUUUUCGCAGCUGUACCGCCUUUAGCGUGUUGUAUUGUUCCUAACACCAAGUCUCCGAGGCCCGAAAAAAUAAGGAAAGUGGUAGCAGCUCAGAAAUCGACUAAGUUUCUUUCCCCCUUUGGCUUUCCUACUAGGAUUCGGAAUCCUCUUUCGUAUGACAAUCUUAAUGAUCUCCCAUAGUCCAAAACUCACAAAAACAUCAAAAAUCCACCGAGAAUAAAUUAAGUAAAAAAACAUGCACACACAGAUAAUAAUAGUAAUCAUGUUUCAUUAUGAUUGCUAAGGUCAGACACAAUACAUAAACAUAUUAGACUGAGUGACCCACCUCACCUCAGAGUAUGCACCAUGUCUGAGUGACCCACCUCACCUUGCCAGGACACUGGUCCUGCCCUCGUGGUUCACGCGCCCUCGUGGUUCAGCAGUGGUCAGUACACAAAUCUAGCUGCCAGUCGGAUCCAAGGGCAGGCAUUUGCAUUGUGGUUGUGUUUGAACAUGGAGAUGUCAUUAUUAUUGUCAGGCACCAUACAUCCUCUCUCAGUUUCACUCCGCCUCACACACGGAUAGCACACCAGGGACCCGACACCAUGCAUGCCGAUUUCAUAUUAUUAAUAUUUAAUUUUUUUAAUGGUUGUUGAAACUAUAUUGUUGAUAUUUUUAUACAUAAUUUACGACCUAAUUUGGAUAUAUUUUUGAAAUAUUCCGAAAUCUUAAAUUCACACGUCUAGAGAUACAGUUAGUCCAAUCUGAUGUUUCCGAUUAUAAAAAUGAACAUAAAGAGAUAGGAAGCGAGAGACGUGAGGGGGAAAGUUAAAUUAGGGCCUAAGGGGUGAAGUUAGGGUUCCAGGUGAGCUGUCAUCACUACGUGUUUUUAAUCGAAAUUGGAAUGUCAGCAAUCGUCAGAUCUUGAGCCAACAGUUGAGACUGCCUCGGAAUGGUAAUUAGGUCUGCGCGAGCUUGCAUUGUGGCCUUCCUUGAAACCUUGGACAUAGGUGUUAUAUUAUUAUGUUCUUGCCAGCACACAGCAGUGAAGGACGACACAGUUGAGAUGUGCAUCACAUUUUCUAUAUGAAGGAUAUGUUUAGCAAACCUAAGAUUUUAGAAUAAAAAGAAAAAUCAUGGGAGCCAAAGCGCCACAUAGUUCUUCCAGGUAAAAAAAAAUCAUCCACUGGACCAGCACAUAGUAACGAUCCAAAAAGUCCAUAUUAAGAUUUUUUGAUAGCAGAAAAAACAUAAAAUGUCUAAUAUUUGUAGUAUUAAAAGGAAAAAUAAUAUAUUCACGUGACCUUUUUCCCGUAGCAAGGCACCGGUACGUGGUCAGACUUAAUGCACGAUGCCUAAGCAUCCAUUGGGCCUACCCUCGUGUGGAUCACGCGCAACAGGACACGGCUCACAAGCUAUGAUGUGCAGCAGUCGCUCAGAUGGCUGAAAGGUACCCUUAAUUUGAAUGGUACCAUAUAUAUAUAUAUAUAUAUAUAUAUAGUAAACAAGACAAACCACCGUUGAUACUACUUUGCACUACUUGAUACAUAUAUCUCCACCAAAAGCGAGGCACGUGGGGAGGAGAGAUAUGUGGUUGAUGGUGCGGGCACGUGGCGAGUGCACCGUACGAAAAUUUUGCUCGUGUCGGACGACUGAUGUGAAGCAUUACCCAAUCUUAAUUAUCUCCCAUAAUCCAAAACUCACAAAAACAUCAAAAAUCCGCCGAGAAUAAAUUAAGUAAACCAUGCACACACAGAUAAUAAAAUUGCUAAUAAGGCCAGAGACAAUACAUAAACAUAUUAGACUGUUCAUGACACAUAUCACGGUGGAUAGUGUCUGUGUCCUUAUUACAAGCAAUGAGAGAUGCUUGUCACCACACACACGCGCACAGAUGCACAACAUACAUAUAGUUGAGACCAACAGAUGGAUCAACUAGAGGUCACCCCAUAUGGUGAACAAUUUAUUGGAGAUAAACAUUAACAUAACUUGGCCAUAGCUUGAAGCAUAGCAACAUAUGCCUAUGAACGGCGUUCAUGCUAUCAUUUUAGGCUUGUCCGCUUCUUCCAUCUUAGCAAGCACUUCCAUUUCUACCAUCUUAGAAGCAACUGUCAAAUUGAGAUAUGGAAAUCCCAUUAGCGCAUGAGUUAAUUUUGCAGUGAAAAUAGAGUACAAGAUAUCUUCAUGAUGUAAGUAACAUGCCUGAAGUUGUGAGAUGGGAAGUGAAGUCAACAAAUUACAUUAACGGAAAUGCAUGGAAGGCCACACAUACGUAUUAGUCCAUGAUAUGCUACAAAGCUUGUAUGUACAUAUAGCAAAUUAAAUGCAUUAAUUGAAUAGAGUGAGUUUAGUGAAUUUACCAGAAUCGUCCAGAAAACAUGGGAAACAGCAAGUGUUCUUGCAGACUGCGUCGGUGCCACCCACAGCAAUACAACCAAAACAACAUGCUUUUGCCCGAGCGGCUGCGCAGCAGCCGCACUCUGCCGCGGUGGCCGAGUUAGCAUUGAGGCUCAAGAUGACCAGGCACAUGAUCACCAUCAAAGCGGUGGUAGUCCUCUUUCCCUCCAUUGCCUCCUCUUGCUGCUACCUUCCUUGGUUACCUAGCUAAGUUUAUUGGUUUUGUGUUGAGAGGUGAUUCUUGCAUUGAAUGGACGUUGCCGCGGCUGCAAUUUAUAGGCAGCUGCGCUAUGUGAUGAUAUGGACAAGGUGCAAAUGGGUGGUCCUGAUAUGGAUAAGGUGCAUGCGAAUGGCUGUCUACUUGUAUAGUGGCGCUCCAAUGUACAUACGUAUGUAUCUUAUGCAUGUAUACAGUUGAUGGAUGUACAUGUUUGUUGCACAAAUUAUUCUGAACCAACUCUUCAUAACAGGUCUUUGUUACCAAGUAAUUUUACUUUUGCACGUUUCAGCCGAGAGGCAGAAGAGAAUAUUUUACAGAGAGGGCAGAGAAGGAGGUUGGCGGAGGCGCCGUGGUAGGGUUCCCCGUGUCGCCAAGAUUUUUGCAUUUUAGAUGUGUGUAUUGAUCACUUCGUCGUGCUCGCGGGGCCCAACUCCAGGUUGUACCCCAGCAGACCACGUUCUGUUUCUCUGCCUCCAAUGAGCAUGCAUGCCUCCACAAGGACCACAAGACUUAGUAAAAAAGCUAAACUUUGCAACACGAUGUAUACAGAACGUUUUGAAAUGUACUCUCGUUAGGCAUUCACCUCCUUAACAAUCACUGCGACUGUAAAAGAGGUACAUCGACGCUAGCUAAAUAAACCACUAUAAGAUUUAGCAAGAGAUCAUUUUAUACAAUCCUGUAACGAAACAAUUUGACAAUUAUAGUGUCCAUAUAUUUUGACAAAAAAACGUUUAAAUUAUAUAAGGAGGUGGGCCCGAAAACGGUUGGAUUACAUCGAGAACGUUUUGAAACAGUUGGCGGAGCAGGAUUCUGGCGUGGAGCAUCUACAUUGUCGCGCGCGCGGACUGCCGGAGUAGGCACGCUCGACUUGUCCCAUCGCCAGCUAAAUGAUUUAGUACCGGAUGGUCUCUAGUACCGGUUGGAGCUACCGUCCACCAGGAGCUUUUCUAGUUUGGAACUGGUACUAAUGCUAAUAUUAGUAUCAGGUCAAAAACAAUCGGUACUAAGGCUAGGGAUGACACGUCAUUUUUCUAGUAGUGUGUGCAAUUGGUUUUGUAAUUAGUCUAUAUUUAAUACUUCUAAUUAGUAUCUACACAUUUUAUGUGACAGGGACUGAACUUUAGUCCGUGGAACCAAACACCCCAUAAGUAUGUUUGGUGCUGUAAGGAUUUCGGUUUUAUUUAAUUUCCUAGGCAUUUAAAUUUCUUUCUAAAAUAAGUUAAUGAAUCAUAGGAUCUCAUUGUUGUAUUCAAGCUGGUGCAUUGAUUUUGCCUAUAAAACCCGCCGCGGUCUUCGCAGCCCCCAUCAAACCCUAGCGCCCUUGCCACAAGCUCAGCACCGCUGCCGCCCGAGCUCGAGCACUAGCACCCACCCAUCGCCGUUGCCUUCCCGUCGAUGGGAUCACCGCCCGGAGCUUCGCAUCGUGGUAAGGAAGCCGCCCGUGAAGAUCCCAUGUGCUCCUAUGCCCUCUACCGCGUCCCCGAGUUCCCGGAGUUGCUAGUCUCCCACCGAGCCGACUCUCCGAGCUUCACGUCACUGGUGCCGCUCCGAAGACCUAGUUCGGUUCGCCAUGCACCUCGCUUCAUCCUGAGCUAAACCCCAUAAUGAAUGGUGGUCGGAUGCUCGCCGCCACGGCGCGUCGUCUUUUCUGUCGCCCGUGCAUUGCCUAUCCCCUUCCAGCCGAUUGCAGCUGUCCGAUCGCAAACCGGUGGCCCUGAUCGGAUACCAAGGUCAAUACCGGUCGAACCGAGCCGUGCGCUGCUUUUGCAAGAAGGCCCCUGUUUUUCUCUCUUUUUGCACCUGAGGUCCUACGCAGUUCAAAAGUAAUAAGAUCUAGGUCCUUUUUCUUUUGUUUUAGCCCGUGUUCUUUUAUAAAAUCCCGCCCACUAUUCUGUUUGGUCUUUUGACGCGUUAGACCUUCUUUUUAUAUGUUUAAUUAGGUUUUAGGUCUCGAUUUCUUUAAGUUUAGCCCUUGAAAGUUUAGUUCUCUCGCAGUUAAGCCCCUGAACCUUGUUUAGCUCAUAUCUUAAGCGUUUUAAAUCCGUUUUAACAGAUUCUUGCGCCUAUAAGUUCAUGUUGACGCAUAGAUUAGUUGACUUAUACGAACCUUGCUGAUUCAGCUCCUUGAUUGUGCUUCAGAUCUCGCUAGGGAAGAAUAAUGGAUGGGCUUUGGUUGAGCUUGUAGAUCGACUUGCAGUUGCAGUGAAUGAGCAGAGGAUUGGCAGUGAAUAAGAUCAGGCCGCUGCCCUGCUUGGUAGGGAAAAUAUCUGCUUGCUACCAAGGCCUGUGACGCAUGGACCCCAUUGAGAGUGCAUUAUUGACAAGGACUUAAAGCCAAGGGCUCCACACCUGUCAUUGAUCAGCUGUCUGCUGGGCGCUGCAAGGAGGUAGUGCAUGUUUGACAUAAAGAAGCAGGUGGCCCAGGAUUUACGAAAAAUAAGGAUCUAUUUGAUACCCUUGCUUAUAUUUAGGGGCUAAAAGUUGCUUAUUUGAAGUUGCUUAUUUUUAAUCCUAGCUGUUUGAUUGCAUGGGCUAAAGAGCAUUGAAUGAGGUGGAUAUUGUCAUGUUUGCCUCUAAUGAUUGCUUCCCAUCACAUUUCUCCCCCCUCAUUCAACGAGGGAAGGAGGUGUAAAGUGCACCUUUUAGCCCCGAUAAGUAACCCUUGUGUUGUUUACGGGCUGAACAUAAGUAGCUAAAGUUUAGCUCCAAUAAACAAGAGUGUUUGGUAUUUUUGGGGUUAAAAGGGGCUAAACUUUAGCUGCUUAUGCAUAAGCAAGGCCAUCCAAAUAGGCCCUAAGUAUGUUUGGCGUUGUAAGUAGGUUUUAUUUAAUUUCCUAGGCAUUUAAAUUUCUUUCUAAAAUAAGUUAAUGAAUCAUAGGAGUUCAUUGUUGCAUUCACGCUGGUGCAUUGAUUUUGCCUACAAAACCUGCUGCCGUUUCCGCAGCUCCCAUCAAACCCUAGCACCCCCGCCACGAGCUCCAGCGCCGCUGCCGCCCGAGCUUGAGCACUAGCGCACACCCAUCGCCGUCGCCUUCCUAUCAAUGGGAUCACCGCCCGGAGCCCGUGUCAUGGUAAAGAAGCCGCCCGUGAAGAUCCCGUCCACUCUCGUGCCCUCUACCGCGUCCUCGAGUUCACCGGAGUUGCCAGUCUGCCACCCAGCCGCCUCUCCGAGCUUCAUGUUGUCGUUGCCACUCUAGCUGCCUCUCUGAAGACCUAGAUCGGUUUGCCGUGCACCCCGCUUCAUCCUGAGUUAAACCCCAUCAUGCCACGUCAUAGUAAGGAAGCUGCUCAUGAAGAUCCCGUGCGCUCCCGUGCCCUCUACCGCGUCCCCAAGUUCACUGGAGUUGCUAGUCCACCACCGAGCCGCCUCUCCGAGCUUCACUUCACAGUCGCUGCUCCAGCCACCACUCUGAAGACCUAGAUCAGUUCGCUGUGCACCCCACCUCAUCCUGAGCUAAACCCCAUGACGAACUGUGGUCGGAUGCUCAUUUUCGAGUGAAUUCCGGCGAGAUGGUCGCCCGCCGCCGCCAUCUCCAUCGCCCAUGCACCGCCUGUCCCCUUCCAGCCGAUGUCCGAUUGCAAACCGAUAGCCGAAAUCGGAUGUGGUCACCAGGAUUAAUACCAGUCAAACUAAGCCACGCGUGCCGCUUUUGCAAGAAGGCCCCUAUUUUUCCCUCUUUUUGCACUUGAGGUCCUAUGCAGUUCAAAAGUAAUUAGAUCAAGGUCCUUUUUCUUAUGUUUUAGCCCUAUUCUUUCAUAAAAUCCCGGCUGCCAUCCUGUUUGAAAUAGAUACGGUUAUAGAUAUGCAAACAUCUGCAUAUUUCCAACCGUAUCUCUUUCGAACGGGAGACGCCUAACUAGGUUACGUGACAUACGAACAUCAUACGGAUAGAGAGGGGUAGGAUGUCUCACCUUGCUAUCCUACAAAGUGACGACUCGAGGACAGUAAUGUAGCCUCUCCUUCAAAAAAAGAACAUACUACUAUCAAGUUAAAUUUUUGACAGCACCUCCCCUGCACGUGGAGGUUUCCAUAACCUGCAUCAAAUAAAACGGCACGAUGGCUGACAACCACAUCUACAGCACCAGAAUGGCACGAUGGCCGACUUCCACAUAAAGUUCUUAUACCUUAGAUUGCCAAGUCAAACAUCCUUUUCUAAUUUCUAAAACAAAAGCCCUCCCACCUCUCUAUCUUAUACUUUCCUAUUUACUAAUUGCUUUUGUAAUUUCUAAUUUCUAUUUCAUCCUACCACCUCUGUACCCUUUUCUCAUUUCUAAUUCCAAUUUUCUAACUUGAAGAGCAAAGAUUGAUUACUAGGAGGGGUGAGGGACGCCGGCCUAGAGAGGCGAGGGGACGUCCGGCGGCGGCGGGUGCGUCGGGGGUAGGAUGCCAGGGGCGGCUGCAGGGGCGCCGGGUUGGGGGCGGCCGGGAUCGAGGGCACCAGUAGCGGGGGCACCGGGCCGGGGGCGGCCGGCGGGGCGGGACGCCAGGGCCGGGGCGACGGGCGCCGGUGGCGAGGCCGCCCGGCCGGUGGUGGCCGGCGUGGCGCCUGGGCCGGGGGGGGGGGGCGGGCGGGGUGCGGCGCGGCGCGCCGGGGCAGGGCGCCGAGGCUGGGUGGUGGGGUACGGGGCGGCGGGCGGGGGGUGGGGGGAGGGUCGGCGGCGGGGCGCGGGGGCGGCCAGCGGCGACGGCGGAGGGCGUCGGUGGUGUUUCGGAAGUGAUACGGAGGGGGUAGAGAGAUUCGUUUUCGCGGCUGAGUGUUCGAGUCAGAAGGCCGUGCGGCUUAAGUCAGGUGGUUUGCCGAGUGCGCGCGAUCUGGCACUCGGCAAAGUCAGAAGUUUUGCCGAGUGUCAGAUCGCGGGCACUCGGCAACUGCAGCUUUUGUCGAGUGCCCUGGAUUCGGCACUCGGCAAAGUGAAGUUUUAAUUUUUUUUAAAAAAAUUUAAUCGGAACACGGGCGUGCCAGCGGGCCCGUGACAUACUUUGCCGAGUGUGUAGCAAAAACACUCGGCAAAAUAUUAUCUUUACCGAGUGUUUUCGCUAGGCACUCGGCAAAGUACACUUAUAUUUCAUGUACACUUUUUCAAUAACGUGUUUUACUAACCUUUUUCUGAUAUACUUGGGAAAAACCUUAUCAAAUUCACUCAACAAUGGAUAUAUGGUUUUUCUACUGACAUUAUUCCAUUAUUUCAUUCAGUUAUAGCUCAAAUUGAAUUUAUAUCUAUUAAAAAUCAAUAAUUGCAUUUAAUAAAUAAAAAAUACCAAACGGAUCUGAAAAAUUUCCAAAAUUUGACAUGAACCAAUCUAUGUUGUAUGUUGCCUGUACAAAAAGCUUUGAAGUCAAACCCCAAUUCAAGUGUCACUUGGACUCCAAAUCUUAUCGGAUCCUUUCUAACUUCUAUGAAUCCUUUCGGGAGAUGAGUCGGUUUGUAAGCAUCAUAUGUCAUAAAUUGGGCGAAACCUUCUCAAUUUUUUACCACAGCCUCCACAUAUAAUAUCAUGACACCUUGACAAAUCUUGUGAUUUUCAGACUUCGUUUGCUUUUUUUAGAAUUUAACAACCAUUCAACCACAUGUUCGUGAUCGUGUUUUCUAAAAAAAUGUUCAAAAUUUCUUUUCAUUUCCUGGUUGAGACCUCAAUCCGGAUUGAAUAAUAUGAAUAUGAUUUUUUCACUGAUUUUAAUCCAUUAUUUAAAUCACUUGCAGUUAAAUUUGACUUAAAUAAACAAAUUCCUAUUAAUGCUAUCAAUUCAUUAAAAAUAGCAAACAGAGAAAAAAUAGACCAACUUUUAAGAUGGAUUACCAAAUGUCAUAUGUGGGGAGUAGAAAAAGUGUGGAGAGCAGAGGUGGAAAAAAAAGUUUUGCCUUUGCCAAGUGCCUACACAAACACUCAACAAACUUUGCGGAGUGCCUAUUGAAAACACUCAGCGAACUUCUGAGUUUGCCGAGUGUCUGGAGGGAGCACUCGGCAACCUACUUAUUUGCCGAGUGUCCGCGUCGGACACUCAGCAAAGUACUAACGGCUGGCACACUCCCCUAACGGACGGCGCACGUGCAAGCCAUGUGCUGGAGAUUUAUCGAGUGUCAAAUCGUUGCCGAGUGUCGUGUGGAUGUUUGCCGAGUGUCUUAUUUGUGACACUCGGCAAAGCUAUUGUUUGCCGAGUGUAUUAUUUAUGCCGAGUGUCUUCCAGUAUACACUCGGCAAAUGAUGUCUUUGCCGAGUGCUCGACAUAAAGCACUCGGCAAAAAUUUUACACUCGGCAACAUUCCUGUUUCCGGUAGUGAGUGACCCGGGACUAAAGACCCCCGUUGUCUCUGAUUGCUUUAUUCCGGAUGGAUUUUCAGGAGAUUUGCUCCCUACCAAUAGGGACUAAAGGCAAGUUUUCCACUUAUAGCAAACCAGUUAGCCCAUUGUUGAUGGAACGCAUCACUAGAAACAGCUCGGGAUCCACUUGUCCAAUAAUCGAGAGGGCCUAUAUAUGGACCACGUGUGCGGAUCCCUAAUUAGGAAAAAAGAAUAAUGGAGUAGGACAUCUCCAUGCUCACCUAGUAGCCGCUGCUAGCUUGUGCGUGUGGAACACGAGUGCCGGCCCAGUUGGCGCUAAGACAUCGUACGUGCAUUAAGGCUACGAUCUCUUUCUUCUAACUCAUGCUUGUGCUAUUAUACAUUAUUGCAUGAUCAUCAAGAUAAGAUCGUAUAGUGACUGAGUGAGACAUGUAUGUACUAACAUGCAUUUAAGCCUCGAACUGUGUGUUGUUACGUGAGCUGCCUCCUCACCUCGCCUCUGAAUUAUUGAACCGUUUCCAACAGUGUUGGUCUCAAAUAAAUUUGACACCAAACAGAUUUAUGAAGAAGAGAGAAUAAUACUUGGAAUUGGAAAAAGUUUAUCUCUCUUUACAAUGGAGUAGGGCUCCCUUUUAUAGUGACCCAUAAGCCACUUUACAUUUGGAAAAUGUCCUUCCUCAACCACUACAUUAAUUCCUAGGAUAUGCUGUACAUAAAGGUCAUUUGAGGUAACGUGUACAAAUGAACUCUUCCACAUGGUCACGUUUCUCAUGCCUCCUGUUUUCCAACCUCGAGACAUCAUCUUCACGCCAAGUUGAUCAUCUAGCCUCGAGGCUCCAUCCACGAUCCAGAAUGAACGUCCAGGCUUGAGGCUCCUUCUUCGUUAAGCUUUGUUGAGAACUCAUAACCUCACAUAGUUCUCCUCCGAGUAUUGUUCCCGACUCAGAACACUCGAGGUUUAGCUCAGUUGGAGUUUAGCUAUUACUGUUGCUAGUCACCAGCCUCGAGCCCCUCCAGAAGCAAGGUGAUGCGAGGGUACGAGUUUUACUAUUAAAGGUGUUUCCAUAGAAUGUGCGAGGUUAAAGCACUUGCAGCAAAAGCGUGGAGCUGCUUUCAACCAGAGUGCAAUAAUGCAGCCGUGCCCAUCUUGGUCUUGGUCUCCGCCUGAACUAUAGCAGAUGCUGGCAGCGGUAGCAGGGUGGUCCAUUAUAUCUAUGGAUGGCAAUGGUCGGAUUCGGAUGGAAUCGAAUUCGAAUAGCACUUUUUACCACAUACUAAUUCAAAUCCGAAUUCGGAUUCGGAUGUUCUCGAAUGCGAAUGCAAAAUGGAUGGUUCGAAUUCGAAUACUUAGCGGAUUUUUGCAUAAUAUUAAUCGAAUAGAAUUCAUUAAAUUUAGCCAAGAAAUUAAAUUUUCUGAAAUUAAAUACUUUCCCUUCGCCCCAGCGGCGGCCUAACUCCCAGGACGGUGGCGUGCGGGGCCCGAGCAUCCCUGGCCUCUAGUGGCGUGGCGGGGCGGCAUCCAGCAGCAGCGGCGGGGCUCGGCCUCCGGUGGCGCGCGGCCAGCCCGACCUACCCGGUCAGAGGUGGCGCAGCGGUGCGCGGGCCUCCCCGACCAGAGCCGGUGGGGAGCGGUGCGCGGGGAGGACCUCCCCAGCCGGAGGUAGCAGGGCGCGACCUCCCCGGCCGGAGGUGGCUCCCUGUGGGGGCGCGGCCGUGACAGCUAGCGAGGCAAUAAUUGCUUCCGUACGCAGCAAUAAUUGCUUGUGCGACACCGUGUUAUUACUCUGGUACAGUACUCCCUCCGUUGCAGUACACUGGUCCAGGCGUCAGGACACUGCUCCUGCCCUCGUGGUUCACGUGCAUCAGGCCAGCAGACAAGCUAUGAUGUUGCCAACAGUGUUUGUUUGAACAUGGAGAUGUCAUUGUGAUUGUCAGGGACCCGACACCAUGCAUGCCGAUUUCAUAUUCUUAAUAUUUAUUUUUUUAAUGGUUGUUGAAACUAUAUAGUUACUCCAAUAUCACGUUUCCGAUUAUAAAAAUUAACAUAAAGAGAUCGGAAGGGAGAGCCCGCAUAAUGAAGCCGACGCGUAUAAUAAGCACUAGAGCCGGCAUUUAUACAAACGGGUACGCAUAGUAAAAACUAGAAUUUAUAAAUAAAUGAAGAUAUUCAAAUAUCUGGCUUACUUUUUUCAUUAAUUUUGCAUGAAUAAGGGAUGAUUCAUUAAUCAUUAUUGAACAAAUUGGCACACAUGCUUCGUGCCCGCGUUGUGAGCAUUAUGCGAUGCCACUGAGCUGCACCACCACGGUAGAGGGCCUGUUUGCGAUGCCACCGAGCUGCACCACCACGGCAGAGGGUCUGUUUGGGAAGGGGAAGUUAAAGUUUAACACCCCCCAUUUAACACCUUUUUAACAAAAUGGCUGCUAAACACUUGUGUUAAAAGAGUAGUGUUAAAAUUUAACACCUCUCUUUUCAUAAACACAUGGAGGGGGUGUUAAAAUUUGCUAAAUGUGUUAAAAGUGGUCCCCUCCCCACUUAUUCCUUGGUUGCCCCCCUCUCUCUCCUCCUCUCUCUCCUACCCGCCGCAUUUAAGAGCAUUAUUGAGGGGUAAUGCAGUCCUUUUCCAACAAAAGUGUUAAACUUUAACAACCCUUCCCAAACAUGCCACAAGCAACACCACCGGCUGACUGUGCUAGCGGGGAGCACCCUCACCGCCUGCCCGUGGGGACUUCUUCUGCCGGCCAUCGUGUCUUUGUAGGACCGCCGCGUGAGCCUAUGAGCCACCGGUGGCCGUGCGCCCAAGGGCCAUCACCAUGCCACCUGAGGAUGCUGUCUACCCGGUGCCGCGUGCCUCUGCUAGCUGCUUGCACCUGGGCCGCCGCUGGUCGCCUGCACAGCCACGCGUUACAGCCGCCCCCCUGCGCUGGGCCACCCCAUUUCGUGUUGGAAGAACUGCCACAGUCUCGCGCACUGGGGUUUUGCUAGUGACGACCAUAGCCUCCAAGAUCAAAUGAAAAAGUUGGUACUCAAAACAUACAUCCAUUAAUCUAGUCGUGCUAAUCCUUACCACCAAAUAAAAACUAGCAUGUGUUGUGUUUUUGUGACCCUAAACGAUCACAAAUGAAUAACUUAUGGGCGUUGCUAGCCUAUAAGUUAUGGGCGUUUGUGACCCUAGUCGCGCCGGGGUCUUGCUGGUGACAACCAUGGUCUUCGCGAUAAAGUAUUAAGUCUCAUCGAGUUCUACAAUUUUGAUAUAAAAUUUCUAUUCAUCCGAGAUCAAAUGAAAAACAAAUGAAAAAAUCCGAAGUAUUAGGCUUCAUCGAGCUCUACAAUUUUGAUAUAAAAUUUCUAUUCAUCCGAGAUCAAAUGAAAAAAUCCGAGAUCAAAUGAAAAGUUGGAACUCAAAACAUACAUCCAUUAAUCUUGAUAUAAAAUUUCUAUUCAUCCGACAUCAAAUGAAAAAGUUGGUACUCAAAAUAUACAUCCUUUAAUCUAGUCGUGCUAAUCCUUACCACCAAAUAAAAAAACUAGCAUGUGUUGUGUGUUUCUGACCGUAAACGAUCACAAAUGAAUAACUUAUGGGUGUUGCUAGCGUCCCGGACGCUAGCAUCGGACGCAUGAGCAGCCGUCCGAUCGGGUCCGACACCACUUCACGAUCUGUCUUAAAAAAAAGUCCCACCGAAACAUUGUUCCAUGUUGCAUGAAAUACCCCACUAUCCAUCGCCAGGUCUACAGCAAGCACCACCUUCCAAUCUGCUGCUCACCCAAGCUAAAUAGGGGCAUUAAAAUUGCAGAAAUAUGUCACAUAUCCUUGUCAAAUUAAACUAAAUCGCAACAUCCGAAAAUUUCUUACACAAAACCAUGAAACAUAUCGAUUAGAUAGGUGUAACAAGAUGGAAUAUGGUAUCCAACAUAUAGAUUCCGAAAAACAGAUGAAACAUUAUGUAACGAUUGUUGAAACAGUCGAGAAAUAUAGAUGUAACGAUUAAAAUUUAGAAAAGAAGCUUUAUGCAAAUUGCAAAAAGCUGAAAUAAGUGGUUGAAACAUUUCGAAUCACCAAAUGCCACAUUUGAAAUGGCUACAUGAAACAUCACGAAAUCAAUUGCAACAGUUGAAGAUGAAAACAUUCAAAUGCCUUGCCUUUCUCCAGAUUUGACCCUCCAAGCAUGAGUCCAGCCAUUUGCACAUUAGACCCUUGGGAGGAGCUCACCGGAGAACAACAAGACCGUGUUCUCCAACAAUUUUCUGAUCAAAUUGCAACAGACAAAACAAAGCAUUGCAACAUCUGGCAUCACGAGCUACAACAUCAACAAGUUAGGAUCAGGAGAAAGAGGGAAAACACAAGCCUAACAACCCCAAGACAAAACUGAUGUACUCAUCAUACAUCACGGCUUGCCGUGCACAGAGAUGAAGGCCGCCAAGCUCAAUCGAGACAGAGACGACGUGAUAGUGCUCCAGAUCGACGGUCCCCAUCAAUUGUUGCGUACACUGCCAAAAGCAAUGGAAGAAGAAGGGUCGUCCCUGCUCGACCUCCGUAGAUGAGCGCAGAUUGGGGGAAACCGUAUAGAGUGCCGCUGACAGCACAGGCGAGGGGGCUCAGGCUUGAUUCAGGGUGAGGGUAGCGGGUAGCAUGAGGAGACAGUCAGGUUUCAUAGGAGAGAGGCGGAGUAGAGAGCUCUGGUGACUCGGUGAGGAGGGUGCGGCACGGAGAAAGGUGUGUAGCUGAAGGAGCUACAUGGUUGGGGCGAGGCGAGCGUAGAGACUAGAGAGGGAAAAAAAGCAUGGGGAGGAGACGAUAUGUGGUUGAUGGUGCGGGCACGUGGUGAGCGCACCGUAUGAAAAUUUUGCUCGCGUCGGAUGACUGAUGUGAAGCAUUACCCAAUCUUAAUUAUCUCCCAUAAUCCAAAACUCACAAAAACAUCAAAAAUCCGCCGAGAAUAAAUUAAGUAAACCAUGCACACACAGAUAAUAAAAUUGCUAAUAAGGCCAGAGAUAAUACAUGAACAUAUUAGACUGUUCAUGACACAUAUCACGGUGGAUAGUGUCUGUGUCCUUAUUACAAGCAAUGAGAGAUGCUUGUCACCACACACACGCGCACAGAUGCAUGACAUACAUAUAGUUGAGACCAACAGAUGGAUCAACUAGAGGUCACCCCAUAUGGUGAACAAUUUAUUGGAGAUAAACAUUAACAUAACUUGGCCAUAGCUUGAAGCAUAGCAACAUAUGCCUAUGAAUGGCGUUCAUGCUAUCGUUUUAGGCUUGUCCAGCUUCUUUCAUCUUAGCAAGCACUUCCAUUUCUACCAUCUUAGCAGCAACUGUCAAAUUGAGAUAUGGAAAUCCCAUUAGCGCAUGAUUAAUUUUGCAGUGGAAAUAGAGUGCAAGAUAUCUUCAUGAUGUAAAUAACAUGCCUGAAGUUGUGAGAUGGGAAGUGAAGUCAACAAAUUACAUUAACGGAAAUGCAUGGAAGGCCACACAUACGUAUUAGUCCAUAAUACGCUACAAAGCUUGUAUGUACAUAUAGCAAAUUAAAUGCAUUAAUUGAAUAGAGUGAGUUUAGUGAAUUUACCAGAAUCGUCCAGAAAACAUGGGAAACAGCAAGUGUGCUUGCAGACUGUGUCGGAGCCACCCACACGAAUACAAAGCUGACAACAUGCUUGUGCCUCGUGGGAUACGCAGCAGCCGCACUGUGCCGCGGUGGCCGAGUUAACAUUGAGGCUCAAGAUGAACAGGCACAUGAUCACCAUCAAAGUGGUAGUCCUCUUUCCCUCCAUUGCCUCCUGUCGCUGCUACCUUCCUUGGUUACUAGUAAGUUUAUUGGUUUUGUGUUGAGAGGUGAUUCUUGCAUUGAAUGGACGUUGCCGCGGCUGCAAUUUAUAGGCAGCUGCGCUAUGUGAUGAUAUGGACAAGGUGCAAAUGGGUGGUCCUGAUAUGCAGGAGCGGAUCUAGGGCCCAGGCAGUUUAAAUUAAAGUCUCCUCAUAGGCAGUUUGACUAUGAUCAAUUUUACCUGUAUUUCUCAAUAUGUAGAUAAUUCUAUGCCAACAAUUAAAAACUAAUACAUAAUUUGACACGGUGUACCUCGAGAACGUUUUGAAAAUGUACUCUCUCGUUAGGCGUUCACCUCCUUAACAAUAACUGCGACUGUAAAAUAGGUACAUCGACGCUAGCUAAAUAAACCACUAUAAGAUUUAGCAAGAGAUCAUUUUAUACAAUCCUGUAACGAAAGAAUUUGACAAUUGUAGUGUCCAUAUAUUUUGACAAAAAACGUCUAAAUUAUAUAAGGAGGUGGGCCCGAAACAGUUGCAUUAGCAUAUGGUUACCCGUUUGUUGUCUUCCGGUCCUAAAAAAAGGACCAUCUUACUUAAAAAGGUUCUAUUAGGCCAUGCAGCCGGCUCUGUGGCACCAAAAAGAAAUUUUGACACGGUUUACAUCGAGAACGUUUUGAAACUAGACUUUGGUAAGCAGUUCAUCACCUGCUUAACAAUAACGGCGUACAUAGACGCUAUCUAAAUUAACCACUAUAAGAUUUAGCGAGAGAUCUAUUUUUUAUAAUUGCGUAUACCACUUUACGAGAGAGACGUCAAGAGCAUGAUGGUACACUUUGUAUAUAUCUUUGAAUUCCAGCUACGGGACUUUCUUGCCUUCGCCGAAAAAAUCUAUCGGUUUUAUCUUAAGGCCGAACAUCUCCCUCUCGUCAGCGAACUUCUUCAUGUACCAUUUAUGGAAUUUGUAUAUCAAAGCUUCCCUACCAACUCAGGCCUUACUGGAGAUUUGCCUAGCUCAAAGGUCCAUUUCAGUUCAACUAGCGGUCCAGCUGGCAGCUCAACUUGCCCAAGACACUCAGCAAGUCCCAUACCUAUUUCUUCCAUGAAUUUUAUUACUUCUGCUUGUUGAUGCAAGGGCAUUGCUGCUAUCUGUUUAGCGUCGUUUUCUAGUAGAUGCCCGAGGUGGGGGAUAGCACCACUUGAAGACAACUUUCCUUUCCUUUUUUUCCUCUCAUCAACCUUAACUAAUGCCCGUUCGUAGUUCGACAGUAGUGGCACUGACUUCUUGGUUGCUUCUUUCAUCUUUUUUUUAAAAAAAUAAUUCUCUUCGAUCUAUUAGCGGUGGCUCCAUCUCCUUUGCUUUUUUUUCUUCGACCCUUUUCUUGAACCACUCCCUGCAUUCUGCUUGGUUUCGGCCCAGCGUUCCGCUUGAGUCAUUGCCUCUUGGCGUUUCUCAGGAGUCACUUUAGGCUCCUUUAUUUUUUUCUUUCUCUAUCUUGGCUUGGGAGGCAAUGGUCGUGACUUCUUAAGUGGUGCUGCAGUUUCCUUGCUCUAGGCUUCUCUUAGUCCCGAUGACGAUGAUCGGGGAGGAGUGUUGUUGUCCUCGUCGUCGCUCGCACCACCAGGAUGUGGUGGAGAUGGAGACCUUGAUCGAGCAGGAAGCGACGGUCCCUGUGGUGACGACGGUCCUGGAGCAGGUUGUGCUGGAGAUGAUGGUCCUGGAGCAGGCCGUGGUGGAGAUGACGGUCUUGAGCUUUGGGGAGAGGGUCGCUGCUGGGGAUUUGUGGGGAGCAGUCUUGAGCUUUGAGGAGAUGCCUCAAUGCCGGGGAUGAUGAUGUAGCAUUUGUGCCAUAGAAUGAUCCCGUGAAGCGCAUAUCCUAGUGUCCUUUCCCCGUCACCUCCCGGGAGGUCGAGCUCUAGGCCUUCAUAUUGGCUAUCAACGAGCUGCUCUAGGCCGACGCUGGCGUAGCCAGGUGGAAUCUCAAUGCCAUGGCUUGUCUGCCCUGGCAGGAUUGGUAAGGCACUCUCAUACACCACCUGUACAUAUAGCAGAAAUAAAGAAGUUAUUAAACUCCGAUCCCGAGGUGUGGAUGGAUGAUUGAGAAGAUUGCAAAAAUAUCAUGUAUAAGUAUACCUUAAUGGUGAUGUUGUCGACCGAUUUAUGCAGCUCACAUGAGGUGCGUUGCGUGAUGACAUCCAUAGGGAACCGUUGCUCAACCAUGGGUAAUCCUUGCAUUUAUGGAUCGGGGAGCCCUGUGGAAGCACAGCUGCUCCCGAGGUGUUAAGAAGGGCUAGCGACGUUUGGAUCCGACAGUGCUCUAGAUUGGGCUAACUCCGCAACUGCUAGGGCCACUCGACAAUUGAUUUCCUCUUGCAUUCUUACUUCUUGUGAAUGCACUUUGGAUUCUAGCAUGCACCUCAAGGUCUCCUCAACAUGUUCCUUUCUUCGCUUGUGGCUUUGGUACGAAGCGAUGUCACCUUGAAAAGCGAACUUCCACGGAAUGACCCCGUACCCUCGGCAAUGUCUUGGGUGCUCGGGAUUCCCGAGGGCCAAUGUGAGCUCAUGAUUCUCUCGGUCCACCUUCAACCUCCGAGCCUUAGCAUCUUCAAUGUUCUUCAUAAGCCUUUCGGCCUUCUGACGUAUUGUCUCAUUGAAGAUCAAUGUCACAUCCUCUUUGGCUCAGGUUGCCUCCAUGAGCGUAACACCAAUUUUUCGAUUGAUCGGGCCAUUCAAGAGUUGCUGGUAUGAUACUCUGAUCAAUCAGGUUUUGUUCCAUCUUGCACCAUCUGGGAAUUGCUGUGCCCUAACCACCUCACCCUAGACGAUGAUGGUACUCCUUCUUGCCAGCAUUUGCAACGUUGGUCUUGACCUUAUUCGCACCGUCUUCGCUCGUCUUGUGUUCGACAAAUGCCUCCCAGUGGUCCCUCAACUUUUGCCACUCAUCGAAAUCCGGAGUUUAGCCAUUCUUGAUGAAUGUGGCAUCCAGCAUCUUCUUGAAUGUCUGGAAUUGUGUGGCCAUCUUCUUCAGCGUCCACGGUUUCACAUCAUCUUCAUUACAUCCUUCGGGAAAUGUGAAAUGUCUCUUAACAUCUGCCCACAGCAUAUUCUUUUCUGAAUCCGGGAGCGUGUAUGGAUUAGUACUUUUGUCCUUCCAUUCCCUGAUGCUGAUAGGCAGAAGCUAGAGACUAUUUCUUUUUCUAAAAAUACACAUGAGGGAGAAAAUUGGUAACAGCUAAACAGUGCAGAUUGCAUUUCAACACACGUUUUUAUAGCUGAGCACACGUCUGAAUCCCAUUUUUAAGUGUUCGGUCCUACACCCACAUUUUCAUCCCAGGUUGUCGGUUUAGUCAUUUUUUACCUUCCAUGACCUAUAGCACACAUUUUUAUGGUAGAACACGCAUUCAGAGGUCAUUUCCACAUCUUCGGUCCAUCCCCAUAUUUUCAUCCCCGGUGGCCAGUGUGGCUGUUUUCGAACUAACGUGACUUAUAACACACGUUUUCAUAGCCGAACACGUGUCCGAAGGCCAUUUUCAAGUGUCUAGUCUGACACCCACAUUUUUGUCCCCGGUGGCCGGUAUGGCUAUUUUUGUGCUCCCGUCACCUAUAACACACAUUUUCAUGGUCGAACACACGUCCGGAGGCCAUUUUAAGUUGUUCGGUCCAUCCCCACAUUUUUUACCCCGGUGGUCGGUGUGGCCAAUGUUUUCUUGGUCGAACACGCAUCCGGAGGCCAUUUUCACUUGUUCGGUUCGACACUAACAGUUUCAUCCCGGUGGCCGGUGUGGCUAUUUAUCGUUCUCCCAUGACCUAUAACACACAUUUUCAACACUAACACUUUCGGAGGCCAUUUUCAAUUGUUCGGUCUGACACCAAUGUUUUGGUCCCCAGUGGCCGGUGUGGCCGUUUUCAACCUCCCGUGACCUAUAACACACAUUUUCAUAGCUAAACACGCGCCCGGAGGCCAUUUUCAAGUGUUCGGUCUGACACCCACAUUUUCGUCCCCGGUGACCGGUGUAGCUCUUUUUGGCCUUCCAUGACCUAUAGCACACGUUUUCAUGGCCAAACACACGUCUGGAGGCCAUUUUUCACUUGUUUGGUGCAUCCCUAGUUUUUGCUCCAGUGCUAAUGUGGUCGUUUUUAGGCUUCGACCUAUAGCACACAUUUGCAUGGUUGAACACGCGUCCAGACGUCAUUUUCACUUGUUCGGUCCAUCCCCCACGAUUUCAUCCCCGGUGGCCGGUGUGGCCGUUUUUGGGCUCCCAUGACCUAUAACCCACGUUUUCAAGGCCGAACUCGCGUCUGGAGGCCAUUUUCACUUGUUCAGUCCAUCCCACAUGUUCUCGUCCCCGGUGGCCGGUGUGGUCAUUUUCAGGUUCCCGUGACCUAUAAUCCUCGUUUUCAUGGCUGAACACACGUCCGAAGGCCAUUUUCGCUUGUUCAGUCCAUCCCCCAUGUUUUCGUCCCAGGUGGCCAGUGUGGCCGUUUUUGAACUAACGUGACCUAUAACAUACGUUUUCAUAGCCGAACACGUGUCCGAUGUCCAUUUUCAAGUGUUCGGUAUGACACCCAAGUUUUCAUUCCUGAUGGCUGGUGUGGCCAUUUUCGGGCUCCCGUGACCUAUAACACAUAUUUUCAUGGCUGAACAUGCGUCCAAAGGCCAUUUUCAUUUGUUCAGUCCAUCCCCCACGUUUUCAUCACCGGUGGCCGGUGUGGCCAUUUUAGUGAUCCCGUGACCUAUAAAACACGUUUUGAUAGCCGAAGACGUGUUUGCAGGCCAUUUUCAAGUGUUCGGUUUGACACCCACGUUUUCGUCCCCGGUGGCCGGUGUUGCUGUUUUUUGCCUUCCAUGACCUAUACACGUUUUCGUGGCUGAACACGCGUUCGGAGGCUAGUUUCACGUUUUCAUCCCUGACGGCUAGUGUGGCCAUUUUCGGGCUCCCGUGACCUAUAACACACAUUUUCAUGGCCAAACACAAGUCCGGAUGCCAUUUCCAGUUGUUCAGUCCAUCCCCCACAUUUUCAUCCUCGGUGGCCGGUGUGGUAGUUUUUGGCCUCCCGUGACCAACAACACACAUUUUCGUAGCUGAACACAUGUCCGGAGGCUAUUUUCAAGUGUUUGGUCCUACACCCAUCUUUUCAUCCCCGGUGGGUAGUGUAGCCAUUUUUUAUCUUCCGAAACCGAUAGCACACGUUUUCACGAGCAUGGCCUGUGAGGCUUAGCUUCUCGUAACCGUAGGUCAUGGCAGGGUUUGAUCGGUCAGGAGGCUGAAGAGUAAGUUACUUUGGGUAGUCAGUGGAAUGGGAUGCCCUUUCAUUUGGGCGAAGUGUGUGAUCGCACGAAAGUAAAGAGCAGGUGGUACUGCACCCUCGUGGAGCCCCCGAGCGACCCAAGCUAAGAGUGCUCGGGCUGGGGCGCUAUAGGAGCGAGUAUCAAAUGGAAACAACUGGUAAAACCAAGCUAGGGAAAUAAACAAUGUAACUGCUCAAUGUUCCAUGUGUUGGUGAGGAUGUUGCCGUCGUCGUCCUUCAGUCAGUAGGCGCAUGGUCGGAUCACCUCGGUGACUGUGUACAGUCCUUCCCAUGGCGGAGAGAGCUUGUUCUUAUUAUUGGUCGACUAGGUCCUUCGAACCACAAGGUCACCAAUCUCGAGGGUCCUCCCUCGGAUUUUCCUCUCGUGGUACCUACGAAGGGUUUGCUGGUAACGAGCGGAGUGGAUGAUGGCCAUCUCAUGUGGCUCCUCGAGCAGGUCGACUAUGUCCUGCUAAGCUUCUGUAGCUCGGUCUUGGUCGAAGGCCUUUACCCUUAGGGCACCGUAAUCGAGGUCGAACGGUAACACGGCUUUGGCUCCGUACACCAAUAAGAAGGGGGUGAACCCUGUGGAUUGGUUUGGGGUCGUUCUAAGGCUCCAGAUUACCACUGGGAGCUCUGUGACCCAUCACCCGGUGUGCUUUUUUAGCCGGUCGAAAAUGCAAGGCUUGAGCCAUUGGAGGACCAUGCCAUUCGCUUGCUUGACCUGAUCGUUGGUUUGUGGGUGCCCGACCGAGGCCCAGUCGAUCCUAAUGUCGUAUCCAUCAUAGAAAUCCAGGAACUUCUUGCUAGUGAAGUUUGUUUCGUUGUCUGUGAUGAUGCAGUUAGGGACGCUAAACCGAUAGAUGAUGUCAAGGAAGAACUCGACUGCGUCUUGUGACCGGAUGUUGGUGAUGGGCUUCGCCUCAAUCCACUUGGUGAAUUUGUCCACCGCCAUGAGUAGGUGAAUGAUGCCACUCGGGGCCUUUUUAAGGGACCCAACUAUGUCGAGGCCCCAGACCGCGAAUGACCAGAUGAUGGGGAUGGACUAGAGCUCUUGCGUCGGCAGGUGAGUUUUCUGAGCAUAGAACUGGCAGCCUUCACACUUGUGGACCACCUCCUCUACGUCUUGAAAUGUUGUGGGCCAGUAAAAACCUUGGCAAAAGGCUUUCCCGACCAGUGAUCUCAGGGACGCAUGGUGUCCGCAGAUUCUGGCAUGGACAUCAAGAGAAGUUGUUUCCCCUAAUUGGUCGGGAUGCACUUCAUGAGUAUUCCCGAUGGACUUCAUUUGUAACGUUCAUCACCGAUGGCGACAAAUGUCUUGACGCGUCAAGUGAUUCAUCGUGCUUCAAUCCUCUCCAGUGGGAGGACCUCUUCGAGGAUGUAGGCGAGUAACGACGCUCUCCAGUUGGUUGGGUCAUGCACCAUUACGUCAGUGCUUCUAGGUGAGGUCGCCAUAGGGGCAUCAGGGUCGGAGCCCCUGAGCACGCAAUCGGACUGUGACUGGGUUGGGUCCUCUCGGACACGGGCAGAUGGUUCAUGGAGGUCGUUCACGAAGACUCCGUUGGAAGAUGGGCCCCAUCUAGGUGCCAAUUUUGUGAGGAAGUUAGCAACAUCAUUGUCCUUUUGUGGCACAUGAUGUAGCUCGAUCCCUCGGAACUUGUCUUCUAACUUGCAUACAUCUUGACAGUACGCUGCCAUGAGAGGGCUCCUGCAGGAGGACUCCUUCAUGACUUGGUCGACCACUAGCUCCAAGUCGCCGCAGCAUAAAGCCGCAUCUCGCCGAGCUCGAUGGUGAUACGUAGCCUAUUGAUGAGGGCUUCGUACUCCAUGAUGUUGUUCAAGGUUGGAAAAUGGAGACGGAUCGCGUAGCGGAGCCUAUUCCCCUGUGGUGAGAUAAGGACCACUCUAGCCCUCGAGCCAGGUCCCAUGAUCGAACCGUCGAAGUACAUCAUCUAGUACUCGUGGGUGACAUCCAGGGUCAGGAUCUGGACUUCCAUCCACUCGGCGAUGAAGUCGGCCAGGUCCUAAGACUUGAUAGCUAUGCAGGGGACGUACUUGAUGUCAUGGCCCAUGAGCUCAAGCAUGCACUUGGAGAUUCGCCCCAUAGCAUCACGGUUGCAGAUGAUCUCUCCCAGCAGGUACAAGGUGAUGAUCGUGACCUCAUGGUCGGUGAAGUAGUGUCGGAGCUUCCGGGUUGCCAUCAGCAUGACGUACAGAAGGUUCUGGGCUUGGGGUAACGCAUGUUGGCGUCAUGUUGACACCAUGUUUUGACAUACGUCAAACAUGGCGUCAAAAGAAAAUAGAGAUGCCAGCGCAUAGUGGAAGGACAACGGCUAGUGGAAUCGACUGGUAAGGUUGUAGAGGGUUGAGCCGAUAGAGUAAGGCAGAAGCCUAGGCGAUGGGAUCACAGGGGCAUAGCCCAUAGAGUCAGACGAUGCGAGCAGGAGGGUUCUAGCCGAUAGGAAAUGUUGGAGGUUCGGCCGAUGAGGAGCUGGUUUUGGUCGGUAGAAGCCAAGUUCGUUUCUGACUCCUACAUGAGUCAUUUUUAUUUAGAAAGUUUGUUUCUUUAGAGAUAGGUCUUAUGAUUUGUUGUAACCGACUAGGAUUAGAAAUCUUGAUGUAUAGGGUAUAAAUAGGGGCCUUGUAAGGUUUGGAAAAGACACACACAUCAUAAUCAAUACAAAUCUACUAUUUUCGCAAUCUACUUUCAAGUCGACGACUUCGCCAUUGUUUUGUUUUCUUCACGAGUUCUUCCAAGCUGGUUGGGCUGCAUUGCUUCGAUCUCCAGCUAGACUGUAAGUUUCGCGUUUACUGAAUACCUCCUAGGCUUUAACUUUGGGUGCAUUGCUGUCAUUUCGUCUGGAUUUAUUCACAAGUUAUCGAUAUUUACUGGAUCUGCAUGUUUUAUUUGUUAAAUCUUGUUGCUUUAGUUUUUAUCACGGUUAUCCAGCUUAGAACACAUUCCAAUCAGCUUUUUCUUUAUUUCUCAUACUAAUCUACUAUCACCCAGCCGAUUAGAUCUGUUUUAAUUGGUGUUCAUGUAAUGCUAUUUAGGUUGUAUUUUACGCUUCCUUUACAUCUACUACAUCCACAUCGGCUGAUCUAGCCGAUUGUCUUUUCUCGUGUCGGCAGCUCUACGAUACGUCCUGUGGAGCGAUUUAGAAUGCCAGCUGAUUUGCUCUUGUAUUUGACAUUUUACCUGUCCUUUUCAAUCAAUAGGUCAGAUUGACUGGCACACCAUGGAUCGAUAGGGCUACAACCCAAACAGGAGCGAAGCAGAUUCUCCCCGGUUUUGUGUGUUAGUGCGCGGGAGCCGUCUCUCAAUUUUUGCGUCAACACAUCGGUGAGUACUUCACUGAUGAAGUACACCGGUCGCUGGACCUUCAGCGCAUGUCCUAGCUCCUCUCUAUCGACUACAAGGGCAGUACUAACCACGUGGUCGCUUGCCGCGAUGUAGAGGAGAAGGGGUUCUUCCUGCUCGGGAGCGAUGAGGACUAGGGCCGAAGUCAGCAAUGCUUUGAGGCUUUCCAAAGCCCAUUGUGCCUCCUCCAUCCAGACGAAUGCGUCUGCCUUCUUGAGGAGUGUGUAGAGAGGCAUCCGUCGUUCGCCUAGUUGGGAGAUGAACCGGCUCAGGACGGCCAAACAACUAGUGAGCCUCUGUAUGCCCUUGAUGCUGUGUAUGGGGCCCAUGUUGGUGAUGGUCGUGAUUUUUUUGAGGUUGGCUUCAAUGCCGCGCUCGGACAUGAUGUACUUGAGCAGCUUCCCCUUUGGAACCCCGAAAACACAUUUCUCAGGAUUAGUGGGGUUGUGGUGCUGCACUACUCCAGAACAACAACACUGCGGCACGCUUGCUCAAUCAGACGGCAAACCAGCCUGCUCUAGCAUACAACCUCCAUCACCAUCGGCUCCGCAGCCAGCCGUCCAGCGUUAUCAGCAGCAUCCACUAGAAGUCAGCAGGGAGGAUGGUGUUUUGGAUCCUCACAGGGAUGGGUCACCUAUAGUGGUGUACGAUGAGGCAACCAGUGUGUUGCGGCAUGUUGAUUCUUCCCGCCAGUUGACCUAGCCGCAAUAUCUGCAACAUACAUCGGCUAUCCAAUAGCCAAUUGUGGUGCCACAAAUUCAGCAGCAGGUGCCAGUGGGCCAGCCAAUGCUCCAACCUAUGGUCCAGCAGUAGCCGCAACAGGUUGAUUGGGCCGCAAAGAUAGCUGGGGUGAUGCAAGAUCAGUUCGGUCUAAAACCUAAAGUGCAGACCUACACGUACAGAAUGCCGUACCCACCAGCCUAUGACAUGUUGUCGUUCCCUCACCGAUUUCACCAAGUUCUCGGGACAAGAUGAGGCAUCUACGGUGGAGCACGUCAAUAGGUUCAUCAUUCAGUGUGGAGAGUCAGCUGUGCAGGAUGCUCUGAGGGUUCGGCUGUUCUCAUCAUCUCUGUCCGGGUCAGCCUUCCAGUGGUUCACGACGCUUCCACCUAACUCCAUUAUCACCUGGGACAAUCUGGAGAAAUAGUUCCACAAAAACUUUUUUGCUAGGGUUCACGAGAUGAAGCUGACAGAUCUAACUAGUCUCAGGUAGAGGAGUGAUCAAUCGGUGGCCAGUUUCAUCCAACGGUUUAGGGAAGUCAGGAACAAGUGCUACAGUUUGGUCUUGAGCGAUAGCCAACUAGCCAACACGGCUUUUUAGGGGCUUCACAGGAGUUCGAGAGUUUGAGCCAGAUUGUACACCGGUUGUCAAACCAAGACGUACACCCAUUUGAUUAGAGAAAGAAUUUCCAGAAGAAGGUGGCGUACGUGGAGUGUUUGGACUUAGAAGGAGAAGCAGAGGUCAGCUUGGCAGAGUGGGUUAAAGUCCAAAAAGCCGAUCUCUUGCCCGUACGGCAAGAAGGAGCCUGAGAAAUUCGAGUUCAAUAUUUCCAAGGCCAAUAAGAUCUUUGAUUUGUUGCUGCAAGAAGGGAAAAUCAAGCUCUCACCAUACCACACGAUCCCAUUGACUGAAGAACUUAAGAAGAUCAAGUACUGCAAGUGGCACAAUGCCACAUCUCACAACACCAACGAGUGCAAAGUCAUCUGCCAGCAGAUCCAAUUAGCUAUUGAGCAAGGGAGGCUCAAGUUUAAAGCUCCUUCAAAACCAGCAAAGCCGAUGAAGAUCGACCAACAUCCAUUCCCAACAAAUAUGGUAGAAGUCGGAGGCAAAAGCGCACCUCCCACAAAGGUGCUGACAUCAGAACCAGCCAAGAGGAGUGGAGAUGUGGACCCUAGAGUAUAGGUGUCGGCCAACGAUGUCAAGUUGAACAGUCAGUUGCAAGAAGGUUAAGCUCAACAAGGCCUCAAUGGCCGAUAUCCUCCCAAGAGUUUCUCAAUAAGUUAUAGAGAUAGCAAGACCAGGCAAGGCACCGGGAAGAGAUGACACAUCACCAUGAAAACCACUGGAGAUGCCCAUUCUUCAUAUACUGCUAGGAGGAGCGGAUCAAGAUACCAUCGAUUGACAACUACCCCGAAUGCAAUGGGUCAUACCAAGGCAGCCGAUUGUCCAAAAGACCGUGCUUUGAUGAUAGGAAUCAAAAGCCGAUCAAUAGGGAUAGACCUUACCAUGAUGACAGGUGCAUCCCAAUGCGUGAUUGACUGGGGGGGCAGGAUCAGUAUACAUGAUUGGCUGGAGGGCAGGCUAAAUGUUCCCAACAGACUAGAGGAAAGAGCCAAUGCAAGAGUCCUCGAUGAAGAGCCUUUGUGUCGCGAACCAGAGCGGCGGCGUGCAUCAUGAGACAAAGCUAUAGAAUAGCCUAGAUGGUGCCCAGCGGGUUUGACUAAGUCCCAGAAGAGACGGGUUCAAUGCAUGCGACAAUGGGAGUAUCAAGAAGAGGAACAAAGGUGUGCUUCAGAAAGGAAAGGGGUCAAAUCCUAGGUGUGGCACAUCAAAGACAAAGCCGAUGACGAAGAUAACAAUCCCAAAUCAGCUGUUGAUGUCAACAUGGUUUUCGUAUUACCGAUGGAAUUCAUGGCUCCAACCAAUCACAAGGCAACAGAAGCAGAACAGGGGAUGGCACAAUUAACCUUGGAGCUGAUGUCAGCCACCUUUGAGAAACCCAAAGAUGAAAAACGUCGGCACCUGAAAGCCCUCUUCCUCAAGGGGCAAAUCGACGGGAGGCUGAUUACCAAGCUUCUGGUGGACAGUGGUGCAGCCGUGAACAUCAUGUCGUAUGCCAUGUUCCGCAAGCUCGGCAAAGGCGAAGAAGACUUGAUCAAAACAGACAUGAUGCUGAAGGACUUCAAAGGAAACAUCUCUCCGGCCCAGGGGGCACUCUGCGUCGACCUCACCAUCGGCAGUAAGACCCUAGCUACUACUUUCUUUGUUAUUAAUGGUAAAGGGUCCUACAAUAUGCUUCUGGGUCAAGAUUGUAUUCACGCCAACUACUACAUCCCGUCUACAAUGCAUCAAUGUCUCAUCCAAUGGGUCGGCGACUCAGUUGAAGUGGUCACCGCUGAUUCUUCUUUCAGCGUCGUUGCAGCCGAUGCACAAUAGUAGAAUUGCAAAUAAGUCAGCUGCAUAUCUGGCAGAGUCUAGGAUACAGAUUUCUUGAAGAUGUCCAAUUUUGGACUACAGCGAUCCAAGUAGUCGGCUCUGAAGAAUUGUCCUGAUGGAUGAGUUCACCCAAGAAGAUGGGAAGCUGGAGCAUGAGUUUAUGUCAGUCGACGAGUUAGAGAUGGUAGAGCUUGAAGAUGGGAGCAAGCCAAAGCAGACAUAUAUUAGUGCUAAGUUAGAUCCUGAGUAUAAGCAUGAACUAAUUAAGUUGUUAAAAGAAUUCAAAGAUUGUUUUGCUUGGGAGUAUCAUGAAAUGCCUGGUUUAGAUCAAUCUAUUGUCGAACAUCAGUUGCUAAUAAAAUCAGGAUAUCGGCCGUAUCAGCAACCUGUGUGACGUUGUAAUCCGAAGAUUUUACUUGAUAUUAAGGCUAGGAUCACAAGAUUAAUUGAUGUGGGGUUUAUUCGGCAAUGUCGGUAUGCUGAGUGGAUUUUUAAUGUGGUUCCCGUAUACAAGAAGAAUGGAAAACUGCACAUUUGUAUUGAUUUCAGGAACCUCAAUCAAGCCACACCAAUGGAUGGUUGUCUGAUGCCGACAGCUGAUGUGUUGAUAGAUGCUACUUUAGGAUACAAAGUCAUUAGUUUCAUGAAUGGUAACGUUGGAUAUAACCAAGUAUUGAUGGAGAAAGAAGAUAUUUCCAAGACGGCUUUCGGGUGUCCUGGACACAACGGUUUAUUUGAAUGGGUGGUCAUGACCUUCGGAUUGAAAAAUGCUAGGGCUACAUAUCAGCGAGCCAUGAAUUACAUUUUCCAUAAACUUAUCGGCAUCCUAGUGGAAAUUUAUAUCGAUGAUGUCGUAGUCAAAUCGAAAGGGUAUCGAGAACACUUAGCCGAUUUGCGUGAAGUCCUGGAAUGCACAAGGAAAGAUGGGUUGAAAAUGAAUCCGAAUAAAUGUGCUUUUGGCGUGUCGGCUCGAAAGUUCUUGGGGUUCAUGGUUCACGAGUGAGGCAUUGAAAUUAAUCAGAGGAUCAUUGGUUCUAUUAACAAAGUUGUGGCUCCGUAAAAUAAGACUGAGUUGCAGUCAUUAAUCGAUAAAAUUAAUUUCAUCCAAAGAUUCAUAUCGAACCUGUCUGGAAGGAUUCAAUCUUUCAGCCUGUUGCUUAAACCAAAAGUCGAUCAAGAGUUCGUUUGGGGGUAGAGCAGCAAAAUGCAUUGGAUGAUAUCAAACAAUACCUGGUGUCACCUCCUAUAUUGGUUCCUCCACAAGCUAACAAGUCGUUCAGGUUAUACCUCUCAGCCUAUGAGUGUGCCAUUGGGUCGGCUCUUGUCCAAGAACUUGAAGGGAAGGAACGAGUAAUUUAUUAUGUGAGCAGAAGACUCUUGGAUGCAGAGACCAGGUAUUCCCCAGUUGAGAGGUUGUGUCUAUGCCUAUAUUUCUCCUGCACUAAGCUUAGACACUAUUUAUUAUCCGCCGAGUGCGUUGUGGUAUGCAAGGAUGAUGUGGUCAAAUACAUGUUGCCAUUGCCAAUUCUAAAUGGAAGGAUUGGGAAGUGGAUUUUGACUCUGUCGGAGUUUGACCUAAAGUACGAAUCAACUAAAGCUGUCAAAAAGGGCAAGUCAUGGCCGAUUUUGUUACUCAUCAUUGUAGGCCAGAGGUUGCUAUUGUUGAGGUAGCCCAAUGGACUUUAUUCUUUGAUGGAUCUUCAUGUGGGAUUGGAUCAGGAAUCGGCAUAAUCCUUAUAUCACCUUGGGAGGCGAACUACAAGUUCUCACUGCCAGUUGAGGCUUCUGCUACCAACAACCAGGCCGAGUAUCGAGCCAUUUUGAAGGGGAUCCAAUUGCUGAGAGAAAUCAAAGCUGAUGCUGUUGAGAUUUUUGGGGAUUCUAUGCUUAUCAUCAACCAGCUGACUGGAGGAUGUGAAUGCAGAGAUGAUAUUUUAAGAAUUUACUAUGAACAGUGCCUUCAGUUACUCAAAGAAUUCAAGAGUGUGGUUAUUGAGCAUAUUCCCAGAGAUUACGAUGAGGAUGCUAACAAGCUCGCCGCAUGCUUCUGGUUAUCGACCGAUCUGUGGUGUUAUGGCCUUAGAGUUAAUGGCCGAUGAUUGGAGGAAAGAAAUAGUAGAUUACUUAAAAGAUCCCUCCAAGAAAGUCGAUAGGCGAGUUCGAUUUCAGGCUUUGCAAUAUGUGUUGCUUGAAGAUGACCUUUAUUAUCUGAUGAUUGAUGGGGUCUUGCUUAAAUACCUCAGGGUUGAAGAAGCCAAGAAACUGAUGGGCGAAAUUCAUGAAGGGGUUUGCGGAGCUCAUCAAUCGGCUUUCAAGAUGAAGUGGAUGAUUAGAAACAAGGGGUAUUAUUGGCCGACUAUACUUGAAGACUGCUUUAAAUACUAUAAAAGUUGUCAAGAUUGUCAGAAGUUUGGCAAUGUGCAAAGAGCCCCGGCAUCGGCUAUGAAUCCUAUAAUAGAGUUGUGGCCAUUUAGGGGGUAUCGAUUUGAUCGGCCAGAUUUAUCCACCUUCAAGCAAGGGUCAUAAGUUCAUACUAGUAGCAACGAAUUAUUUCACUAAGUGGGUUGAAGCAAUUCCCUUGAAAAAUGCAACAUCGGCAAGCAUGGUUGAUUUUGUCAAAGAACACAUCAUCUAUCAAUUUGGUAUCCCUCAAACUAUCACUACCGAUCAAGGGACAAUGUUCACUUCGAGAGAGUUUGAGGAAUUCGCUACUAGUAUGGGAAUUAGGUUGUUGAAUUCUUCUUUGUAUUAUGCCCAGGAAAAUGGUCAAGCUGAAUCAUCCAACAAGGGGAUCAUUAAAUUAAUUAAGAGGAAGAUCGAAGAGCAGCCAAGGCGCUGGCACACUACGUUGAGCGAAUCCUUAUGGGCGUAUCAAAUGGCUUGUCACGGAGCCACAAAAGUAUCCCCUUAUCAAUUGGUUUAUGAACAUGAAGCAGUUCUACCUUGGGAGUUAAAGACUGGGUCUAGGCGUGCAUCGUUGCAAGACCAGUUAACAGCCGAAGAAUACUCUACUUUGAUGAAAGGGGAUUUGGAAGACCUAGCGGGUCAUCGACUAAGGUCUUUGAUCAGCAUCGAAGAAAAUAAGAAGAGGGUGGCUAGAUGGUAUGACAAAAAGGUCAAGGUCAAGGAGUAUUCCCAAGGAGAUUUAGUCUGGAAGCCGAUAUUGCCGAUUGUGUCUAAAGAUCCCAAAUUUGGGAAAUGGUCGCCUACAUGGGAGGGACCGUAUCGGAUAAACCGGUGUGCUCCUGGUAAUGAGUAUAUUUUGGAGACACUUGAAGGAGAGGAGUUCACAAGGGCUCUAAAUGGAAAAUACUUUAAGAAGUACUACCCGAGUAUAUGGGUAGAUGCAUAGCCGAUGGUGUGAUGCCUCGGACUAACAUAGACGAUAUUGAGGGUAUCGCCUUUAGUCUAAAAAGAAAAGAAGGAAAAAGGCAGACACAUGGAUAGCCGAUAAAAUCAGCUGUGAUAUGGCCGAUGUGAUACAAGUCACCCUUAGAACAAAUAAUACUUGCAACACUUCGGACACAACAGGUUAUUACAUCAAAGUCAUCAUUAUAUCAUGGCCAAGACAUUCCAUUACAGGCAAAUCUGGAUGGCUCCCUAUUGAUAUCGGCAAAUACUUACUCCCUUUGGCGAGAUGUGCCUAGGAGACGCCCCAGUUGAGCCUUAGUAGUGCCGAUUUCCCUGUUGACCUGGCCCAAUUCCAGUAGAAGUUGAAUUUUCCUAGCCUCCAAACUGGCCAACUUGUCUUCGAGCAAUACACGGGGGGGGGGGGGGGGGGGGGGGGGAGAGAGGUUGAUGGCUUCGAAGGAUUGGCUGCUGCAUUUGCUGGUUUGAGCCUGCAGCUUUGAUUGAGGACAAGAUCGAUUUGAUGUCCAUAGGUAGAUGGUCUCUGAUUUGAUCACGAUGAGCUUGGAUCAAAGCUUUGUCCACCUAGGUGAGCGGCUCAUUGGAAUGAAGGAUCUGGAUGACCUAUUCAAGCUGUUCGUCCACUUGAUUUGGCUGGGAAAGAGAACAAAGAGUCAAGGUUUGGUUCAUGAUAACCAAUUCGGAAUAGAGAAAACAUAGCAAUACCUGGUUGACUGAAGAAGAGGAAGCCAUCUUGGUCGCGUGAAUUCAAUCUAGUUCGAAAACUCGCAGUGUGUGCGGUCUUGAAGGUGACCUCAAGGAAGGAGUAGGGGUCUGUAUUUAUAAGACGAAUAGACGUGUGAAAUGUGAACAAUGGUCGGUCAAAAGGGGCUUUAAAUGGGACUAGCCAUUGGCGAGUCAGAAAGAGCUGUGGAGAAACGGUCAAAUUACAUUCAAGAUGGAUAUUGAGCAUUGACAUCACGAGAGGAAUGUACCAAGUACCAGAAUACAUAAAAGCUAAUAACGUUCGUUACAAUUAUGCUAGAAGAGUUUGAAUGGCAUUUAUCGCACGCAGGCGAAUCUGAUUGGCAGCCUUUAUCUCCCUACGGUCGUCAUCGGCUGAGCCGGGUAUGUCAGUUAUGCUCCGAUGUAGCUGAAUAGCUUGAUGCGCAUGUGCUUGCUUUUCCUGCUCUAAUUGCUUGAGGACUUCUAGAAGUUGGGCGAGCUUGGUUUCUUCGACGAUGAUGGCAUCGCCGAUGCUUUUCAAUUCCUUCAUCAGUUUUUACCUCCUUGCUUUGAGCCAAUCAAUUUCACCAACAAUAUUGGGGCGAGAAUCCCUAAGAAAGCCGAUCUUGGGAUGGAUUUCAUCGGCCUAAAGCUUAUGGAAUUCCUUGUCCUUAUGCAAUUGUUCCUGUUUGGCGCGAUCGGCUGUGCGGCGUAGAGCCCUUAACAUCGGGACUUGGUGACUCCCUAUGUAGGCUGCGGGGAGGAUGGCUUCUUCUUUGUCUUCUAGGAUCUGGCCUUUGAGGUUGCGGAGGAUGUCGUGCAUCGGUUGUGCAUCUUUGACUAGUUGGCUGAUGCCUUGCUGAAGGAAGUCGAGUAUAUCUUGAAGUUUGGCCUUUAGGACAUCAGGAAUAGAUUCUGGAACCAGUGGGUGUGACAAAACUUCUUCUUCUUCGUGGAUUUCCCCUACCUGAAAUGAGAAGAGGCUGCUGUCUGGAGUGUCCUGAGCCUGCAAGGAUCAAUAAGGUAUAAGCUGAUGAAGCUAGUUGAUUGGAAUCAAUUAAUGUGCAAAAGAGUGUUCACCAUCUUCCAUUGGGUUUCUCUGGUUUGUGUUGGUGAUUCCACUAGGGACUCUUGUUGAACUGGUUCUGCGGAGGGUGGCAUGUUCUUGGAAGGUACAUUGACUGCUAGUGUUUCAAGAAUAGCGGCCGACACUUCUGGGAUAGUCUGUAUAGAAAACCGAACGAUUCUUAGCAACGGAGGUUGAGAAGGGUUGGAAUAGAGUAUGCAUUUUACCUCAAGUGUUGGAGUGAUGGCCGAUGCAGUCUCCUGUGUAUCUUUAGCCUGUGGAUCAGCCGAUGAAGGAGGCGGAGGCAUAGCCGAUUCUAGGAUGGGCUCUUCUGGUGCCGAUUGUGCGGAAGGCUAAAAGAAACAAGAGUCAGUACUAGCAAAGUAUCUAGAAAAAAUUAAAUAAGUGAGAUUACCUGCAUAGCCUCUAUCAAAAGUGAUGUAGCUACUGACGCUACUUCCGCUAGAACAGCCGUUUGGGGUGCCACCGCUGCCGUCGGAUCAGUCUCCUGGGCUGACGCUGCUGUCGGCAGGACGGAUGCCUAUGCUGAUUUGGAGCCUUUUUGAGGGUGCUUCUUACGGGUAGCCUUCUCAAGAAUAGAGACUUUGCGCUUUUGGCCUACGGCUAUGUCCAUUAAAGAUGGCGCAUCGUAGCCAAUGAGGGGGUCAGCCAAUGGAGGGACGUAAGCAAUUGGCUUGUUGCUCUAGCUAACUCUUGAAGGUGUAAAGUGAACACCCUGUAAAGGGCAAAAGUGUUAGUGGGAAGAAAAUAUCUGUAAUGAAAGGAGAUUCAGCGGAAUCAAUGGUGAUUACCCCUCCAUCAGGAUCAUUGAAGUCUAGGUCGAACUUCCUACAAUAAAUUCUUGUUGCCACAUAGAAAAGAUGAUUCUUCC